UAUCAAGUUGAGUCCAUUAGGGGCGCGUCCUAGGGUUGGAGGACGACUCUAGCACCCCUUUGGUCGUCCUCCCCUCUAUUUAUUUACAUCUGGAGCCGCCAUGAACAACUGGGUUUUGAUUAGAUAAAGUUUAGCCUUCGCAACUUGCUUGUAAACGCGCGUGCUGAUCCAGCCGCCCGUCUUCUUGUUUUCGAAACCCCACUUCAUUAUAGAUUGAGUUUGAAACCUUCAUUUACAUCUGGUAAUUUAGUACUUGUUCUACUUGUUCUUGCUGGUUCUUCGAUUGCUUGCAGGACGAGUGCCCUAGUGGCCGGGUGUUGCGCUCCACAAGAUCGUGACAGCCAUUGGAGGCGGUGUAUCGGUUGCUAAGGCGCAGUCUUGAGGGCUGUAGUCGGGCCGUGAACGUCAUCUCCAUUCACUAAUCGAGUUAUCCAGCGCCUCUCAUCGAAAGAUCAGGCGAAAACCCUAGUGGGUUCACAUCAGUUGGUAAUCAGAGCAAGGUUCUUCGGUAAGAGACUUCUAAUCCUUUGUUGUUAUUAAUUAAUUUCCUAUAGUCCAGAAAAGCCAAAAAAAAAUAUAGUAGAUUAGUUUUUCCAUAAUCCUAUUAAACCUUUGUGCCUUGGCUAGUACCGUUUUAGUUAGGGCUUGUUGAAUUUGCGUUGCUUCGGUUUGUGUCGAGUUGCUGGUCUUAGUGCCUAGUCCUUUAGAGUUUCGAGUUUUUGUCACCAUCUAGUCACAACUGCGUCCAAUCUAUUGUGGGUUGGAAUUUGAGUAGAUCUUGAUAAUAGGUGCAGCCACUUGUUGGUCUAUUCUACGUUUCCAUCAACGUGAUCCAAAAGGAAAGAUAGCACUUCAUACUUGUGCUAGAUAUAUUGAAUUUUGAGGUUCAGCCUUACACUAGUGAGAGGGUGAGAGUGGUGAAGUGAUAUUUUGUACUAUUUUGUUUAUAUAAUCAGGUUUUGAGGUUCCCCAAAAAAAAGAAAAGAGAAAAAAAAAUAAAGAAAAAAAAGAAAGAAAGAAAGAAAAAAGAAAAAAAAAUCAAAAAAAGGGGAUUGUUGUUCCUUUUGUUUCCAGUAGGGCUGCUCAUUUUGUUUCUAGUGGUGUGCUGUGUUUUCCCUUUGUGUCCAGGCUCGCGUCUCUAGCACGGUCUAGGCUAGGACCAGCACAGUACCACCGUUGAGCGUUUAUUCAGCUCGCUUUUAUAACUAACGUGGUGCUAGUUCGUUCCUUGUUUCAGCCCACCUAUAGCUCCACAUACUCUACAGCUUGACAGGUCUUGUGCUGCAGCACCGAUACACUUCGUCCAUUGCUGUACACUUGUUAGCAGACGACCCCUCCUGUCAAGCAAGGUAAGAAUUGGUAAGAACUUGUGUUACAGGUUGAGUGUGAGCGACUUGCUGUAGCUACAUCCUAGUAGUUGUAGGGCUUUUAUUUCUUCACUUGCCUUUUUGUUGUCUUUGUCUUUGAACCAUGCCAGGGGCAGAUGAUGGUAACGAAACACCACUUACACCUCGCACUAAGGGCAUCAUACAACAUUUUGAAAGGAAAGUGAAGCUGCACACAGAGGGACUUGAUAACGACUUGCAGGUGACAAAUGAAAAGCUGGGACAGUUGGAGGCUACGCAGAUUGCCACAAACAACAAGCUCACAAGUUUGGAGGAAUCCGUUGCUAGUGUGGACAAAAGCCUUGCUGCUCUCCUAAGGCGAUUUGAUGCUUUCCACACAAUGGACAAAGAGAAGCAUAAGGAAGAAAACAAGGAGGAAGACCGAGUGGAUGGCAAUUAUGAUGAUGAUUACACUGCUGAUACGGAACGAGAUGAUCAAGACACUCAUCAUCGACGUCACCUACGUCACACCCGUAGAGGUAUGGGUGGCCACCACCGAUGCGAGGUACACAAUAAUAAUGAUGCUUUUAGUAAGAUUAAAUUUAAAAUACCUCCUUUUGAUGGUAAAUAUGACCCUGAUGCAUACAUUACUUGGGAGAUUGCUGUUGACCAAAAGUUUACAUGUCAUGAAUUCCCUGAGGAUACACGUGUUAGGGCUGCUACUAGUGAGUUCACCGAUUUUGCUUCCGUUUGGUGGAUAGAACAUGGCAAGAAAAAUCCUAAUAACAUACCUAGAACUUGGAAUGCGUUGAAACAAGUCAUGAGGGCAAGAUUUGUUCCUUCUUACUAUGCACGUGACAUGAUUAAUAAGUUGCAGCAAUUGAGACAAGGUGCUAAAAGUGUAGAAGAAUAUUAUCAGGAAUUACAAAUGGGUAUGCUGCGAUGUAAUUUAGAGGAGGAAGAAGAACCUGCUAUGGCUAGAUUUUUGGGCGGGUUAAAUCGUGAAAUCCAGGACAUUCUUGCUUAUAAAGAUUAUACUAACGUAACCCGUUUGUUUCAUCUUGCUUGUAAAGCUGAAAGGGAAGUGCAGGGACGACGUGCUAGCACAAGGAGUAAUAUUUCUGCAGGGAAGGCUAAUUCAUGGCAGCAACGCGUGGCUUCAACUCCAUCUACACGUAUUUCUACUCCAUCAUCUAGUGACAAGACUCGAGCUGCCCCCACCAAUUCAGUUGCGAAGACGAUACAAAAGCCUGCUGCGAGUACUUCAUCCGUGGCAUCGACGGGUAGAACAAGCAACAUACAAUGUCACCGGUGCAAGGGAUAUGGGCACAUGAUGCGUGACUGUCCAAACAAGCGAGUUAUGAUUGUCAGGGAUGAUGGUGAGUACUCAUCUGCUAGUGAUUUUGAUGAGGAUACACUUGCACUGCUUGCGACUGACCAUGCAGGUAAUGAAGAUCAAAUAGAAGAACAUAUUAAUGCAGGUGAAGCGGACCACUAUGAGAGCUUGAUCGUGCAGCGAGUGCUUAGUGCACAAAUGGAGAUGGCGGAACAAAAUCAGCGACACAUUUUAUUCCAAACAAAGUGUGUCAUCAAAGAGCGUUCUUGUCGCAUGAUCAUUGAUGGAGGUAGCUGCAACAACUUGGCAAGCAGCGAUAUGGUGCAGAAGCUUGCCCUCAACACCAAGCCACACCCGCAUCCCUACUACAUCCAAUGGCUGAACAACAGUGGUAAGGCAAAGGUAACUAGACUUGUGAGAAUUAAUUUUUCCAUCGGAUCCUACAAAGAUAUUGUUGAAUGUGAUGUUGUGCCUAUGCAAGCUUGUAACAUUCUGCUAGGUAGACCUUAGCAAUUUGAUAGAGAUUCUAUGCAUCAUGGUAGAUCAAAUCAGUAUUCUUUUCUAUACCAUGAUCGCAAAAUUGUGUUGCAUCCUAUGUCCCCUGAAACUAUUAUGCAAACUGAUGUUGCUAGGGCUACUAAAGCAAAGAGCAAGAGCAAUAAAAAUGAUAAAUCUGUAAUUGGUAACAAAGAUGAGAUAAAACUGAAAGGACGUUGUAUGAUAGCUACCAAAUCAGAUAUUAAUGAGUUCAAUGCAUCCACUUCUGUUGCUUAUGCUUUGAUAUGCAAGGAUGCUUUGAUUUCAGUUGAGGAUAUGCAAUGUUCUUUGCCCCCUGCUGUUGCUAACGUUUUGCAGGAGUAUUCUGAUGUGUUUCCAAGUGAUGUACCAGCGGGGCUGCCUCCACUACGCGGGAUUGAGCACCAAAUUGAUCUUAUUCCUGGAUCAGUUUUGCCAAAUCGUGCACCAUACAGGACAAACCCGGAGGAAACAAAGGAAAUUCAGCGACAAGUGCAAGAACUACUAGACAAAGAUUUCAAGCCUUAUUUGGGUGAGGAAGAUGAGCUUGAGUCGAGGACGACUCAAAUGCAAGAAAGGGAGGAUGAUGAGGACAUCAACACCAGCGAUACAUAUCCUACAUCCACCAGCGAUACAUAUCCUACAUCCACCAGCGAUACAUAUCCUACAUCCUCUCCGACACAACCUAUAGCUGGUCCUCUUACUCGUGCUCGUGCCCGUCAACUCAACCUUCAAGUAAGUUCAGCUUUAAACUCUUGUCAAUCAUAUUUAGACAAUGGAGACACGUGCACUUUGGUGUUGCUCAGGAAUAAUGGACAAGAUCAGCAAGGGAAGGUUCAACUGCAUUCAGAAUUUGAGGCAACACCAACUUCAAGGGCUGAUUGCAUAUGGGAAUAGUGAUAACUUAACAAAGGUGAUUGGAGAUCAGGUCCAAGCCUCCACAACAUCCUCUGUCAAGUUACCACGUCGUUUCUAAAGCAAGGAAACAAAGAGUCCAAACCCAACACGUUUUGGGAGUUGGAUUCGGACUGGAAAAUAACUCUAACUUGUAUGGAUCACCACGGCGUCAUAUGGACUCCAACUGGGACGUUCCUAUACUUGUUGGAAAGCUCAUGAAGUCUACUUUCCAAUGGGUCCAACCACAUAUCUAUGCGGCUUAUGAGUCGGGCGCAGUCCUUGUUUUUGUGCCGACACCUUUUUCUGUUUUGGUGCUGCGUCACCCUAUUUUGGACCAAUGGCCCAUGUAUCAAGUUGAGUCCAUUAGGGACGCGUCCUAGGGUUGGAGGACGACUCUAGCACCCCUUUGGUCGUCCUCCCCUCUAUUUAUUUACAUCUAGAGCCGCCAUGAACAACUGGGUUUUGAUUAGAUAAAGUUUAGCCUUCGCUACUUGCUUGUAAACGCGCGUGCUGAUCCAGCCGCCCGUCUUCUUGUUUUCGAAACCCCACUUCAUUAGAGAUUGAGUUUGAAACCUUCAUUUACAUCUGGUAAUUUAGUACUUGUUCUACUUGUUCUUGCUGGUUCUUCGAUUGCUUACAGGACGAGUGCCCUAGUGGCCGGGUGUUGCGCUCCACAAGAUCGUGACAGCCAUUGGAGGCGGUGUAUCGGUUGCUAAGGCGCAGUCUUGAGGGCUGUAGUCGGGCCGUGAACGUCAUCUCCAUUCACUAAUCGAGUUAUCCAGCGCCUCUCAUCGAAAGAUCAGGCGAAAACCCUAGUGGGUUCACAUCACGAGCUUCCACUUGAGCCUCUUCAGCGGAGAGUACCAGUUGUGUCCAAAAUGGUUUCUUAGAGUAUGGUGUAUUAGGCACAAAUUGUGCACCAAUCUUGCACCAAAACUAACACUUUCUCCAAAUGGACAAAAGUGAGAUAUUAGAUGACACACAUCAUCUAGAAGUUAUAUCGGGUGUGUCAAAAUUGAUUUUCAAGCAUAUGUUUUGUUUCAUGCACACCGAGCACCUAUCUUGCACCAAAAGUAACACUACCUCCAUGUGGACCGAAGUGAGAUUCCAUAUGACAUACGUCAUCUAAGAGUUCUAUCGGGUGCAUCCAAACUGAUUUCUAAGCAUAUGGUACAUUCCAUGCAAACUGUGCACCUAUCUUACAUCAGGAUUAGCACUAUCUCCAAACAGACUAAACCAAGCAUUCAUUCAAGCCCCUUUACCUAGGAGUACAAUCGGGUGCGUCCAAAAUCAUUUCUUAGCCUAUGGUGUAUUAGGCACAAACUGUGCACCUAUCUUGCACCGAAACUAACACUGUCUCCAAACAGACCGAAGCAAGACUUUAUAUGACACACGUCAUCUAAGUGUUCCAUCGGGUGCGUCCAAAUUGAUUUUCGGGAAUAUGGUAUGUCCCGUGCAAACUAUGCACCUAUCUUGCAUUAACAUUAGCACAAUCUCGAAAUAGACUAAACCGAGCUUCCACUUUAGCCUCUUCAUCUAGAAGUACCAUUAGGUGCGUCCAAAAUGGUUUCUUAGACUUUGGUGCAUUAAGAGCAAACUGUGCACCUAUCUUGCAGCGAAACUAACACUAUAUCCAAACGGACCAAAGUGAGUUUCCAUAUGACACACGUCAUCUAGGAGUUCCAUCGGGUGUGUCCAAAUUGAUUUCUGAGCAUAUGGUACGUUCCAUGCAAACCGUGCACCUAUCUUGCAUCAAGAUUAGCACCGUCACCAAAUAGACCGAACCGAGCUUCCACUUAAGCCUCUUCACCUCAGACCAACAGGUGCGUCCAAAAUGGUUUCUUACUAUGGUGCAUUAGACGCAAACUGUGCACCAUCUUGCACCAAAACUAACACUAUCUCCAAGCGGACCAAACCGAGAUUUCAUAUGACACACGUCAUCUAGGAGUUCCAUCUUGUGCGUCCAAAUUGAUUUCUGAGCAUAUGGUACGUUCUAUGCAAACCAUGCACCUAUCUUGCAUCAAGAUUAGCAGUAUGUCCAAGCAGACCGAACCCAGCUUGCACUUGAGCCUCUUCAUCUAGGAGUACCAACAGGUGCGCCCAAAAUGGUUUCUUAGGCUAUGGUGCAUUAGGCACAAACUAUGCACCUAUCUUGCACCAAAACUAACACUGUCUCCAAAUGGACCGAAACGAGAUUCUAUAUGUAACACGUCAUCUAGGAGUUCCAUCAGGUGCGUCCAAAUUGAUUUUCAAGCAUAAGGUACCUUCCUUGUAAACUGUGCACAUAUUUUGCAUCAAGAGUAGCACUAUCUCCAAAUGGACUGAAUCGAGCUUUCAGUUGAGCCACUUCACCUAGGAGUACCAUCUGGUGCGUCCAAAAUAGUUUCUUAGCCUGCGGUACAUUAGGCGCAAACCGUGCACCUAUCUUGCACCGAUACUAACACUUUCUCCAAAUGGACUAAAGCAAGAUUACAUAUGACACACGUCAUCCAGAAGUUCUAUUGGAUGCGUCCAAAUUGAUUUCUAAGCAUAAGGUACGUUCCAUGCAAAUUAUGCAACUAUCUUGCAUCAAGAUUAGCACUAUCUCCAAAUAGACCGAACCGAGCUUCCACUUGAGCCUCUUCAGCGGAGAGUACCGGUUGCGUCCAAAAUGGUUUCUUAGAGUAUGGUGUAUUAAGCACAAACCAUGCACCAAUCAUGCACCAAAACUAACACUUUCUCCAAAUGGACCAAAGUGAGAUAUCAGAUGACACACAUCAUCUAGGAGUUAUAUCGGGUGUGACCAAAUUGAUUUUCAAGCAUAUGUUUUAUUUCAUGCACACCGAGCACCUAUCUUGCACCGAAAGUAACACUAUCUCCAUGUGGACCGAAGUGAGAUUCCAUAUGACACACGUCAUCUAAGAGUUCUAUCGGGUGCAUCCAAACUGAUUUCUAAGCAUAUCUACAUUCCAUGCAAACUGUGCACCUAUCUUACAUCAAGAUUAGCACUAUCUCCAAACCGACCAAACCGAGCAUUCAUUUAAGCCUCUUUACCUAGGAGUACAAUCGGGUGCGUCCAAACUCGUUUCUUAGCCUAUGGUGUAUUAGGCACAAACUGUGCACCUAUCUUGCACCGAAACUAACACUGUCUCCAAACAGACCGAAGCGAGACUCCAUAUGACACACGUCGUCUAAGAGUUCCAUCAGGUGCGUCCAAAUUGAUUUCCGGGAAUAUGGAAUGUCCCGUGCAAACUAUGCACCUAUCUUGCAUCAAGAUUAGCACAAUCUCCAAAUAGACUAAACCGAGCUUCCACUUUAGCCUCUUCACCUAGAAGUACCAAUAGAUGCGUCCAAAAUGGUUUCUUAGACUUUGGUGCAUUAAGAGCAAACUGUGCACCAUGUUGUAGUGAAACUAACAGUCUCCAAGCAAACCGAAGUGAGAUACCAUAUGACACACAUCAUCUAGGAGUUCCAUCGGGUGCGUCCAAAUUGAUUUCCGAGCAUAUGGUACGUUCUGUGCAAACAAUGCACCUAUCUUGCAUCAAAAUUAGCACUAUCUCCAAACAGACCAGGCCAAGCUUCCACUUGAGCCUCUUCACCUUUGAGUACCAACAGAUUUUCCAAAAUGGUUUCUUAGACUAUGGUUCAUUAGGCGCAAACUAUGCACCUAUCUUGCACCAAAACUAACACUGUCUACAAACGGACCAAAGCGAGAUUUCAUAUGACACACGUCAUCUACGAGUUCCAUUAGGUGCGUCCAAAUUGAUUUUCUGAGCAUAUGGUACUUUCCAUGCAAACUGUACAGCUAUCUUGCAACAAGAUUAGCACUAUCUCCAAAUAGACCGAACCGAGCUUUCACUUGAGCCUCUUCACCUAGGAGUACCAUCGGGUGUGUCCAAAAUAGUUUUUUAGCCUAUGGUGCAUUGGGCACAAACCGUGCACCUAUCUUGCACUGAAACUAACACUCUCCAAACAGACCGAACGAGAUUCCAUAAGAUACACGUCAUCUAGGAGUUCCAACGGGUGCGUCCAAAUUGAUUUCUGAGCAUAUGGUAUGUUUCAUACAAACUGUGCACCCAUCUUGCAUUAAGAUUAGUACUGUCUUGAAACAAACCAAACCAAGCUUCCAUUUGAGCCUCUUCAACUAACAGUACCAACAGGUGCGUUCAAAAUGGUUUCUUAGACUAUGGUGCAUUAGGUGCAAACUGUGCACCUAUCUUGCACUGAAACUAAUAUUGUCUCCAAACGGACUGAAGCGAGAUUCCAUAUGACACACAUCAUCUAGGAGUUCCAUCGGGUGCAUCCAAAUUUAUUUCCAAGCAUAUGGGAUAUUCCAUGUAAACCAUGCACCUAUCUUGCAUCAAGGAUAGCACUAUCGCCAAACAGACCGAACUGAGCUUCCACUUGAGCCUCUUCUCCUAGGAGUACCAAUAGGUGCAUCCAAAAUGAUUUCUUAGCCUAUGGUGCAUUAGGCGCAAUCCGUGCAUCUAUAUUGCACCGAAACUAACACUGUCUCCAAAUAGACCGAAUCGAGAUUCCAUAUGACACACGUCAUCUAGAAGUUCCAUCGGGUGCGUCCAAAUUGAUUUCCAAGCAUAUGGUUUGUCCCAUGCAAACUAUUUACCUAUCUUGCAUUAAGGUUAGCACUAUCUCGAAACAGACCGAACCGAGAUUCCGCUUGAGCCUCUUCACCUAGGAGUACCAAUAGAUGCAUUCAAAAUGGUUUCUUAGACUAUGGUGCAUUAGGCGCAAACUGUGCAUCUAUCCGGCACUGAAACUAAUAUUGUCUCCAAACGUACUGAAGUGAGAUUCCAUAUGACACACGUCAUCUAGGAGUUCCAUCUGGUGCAUCCAAUUUGAUUUUCGUGCAUAUGGGACAUUCUACACAAACCGUGCACCUAUCUUACAUUAAGAUUAGCACUAUCUCCAAACAGACCAAACCGAGCUUUCACUUGAGCCCCUUCACCUAGGAGUACCAUCGGGUGCGUCCAAAAUCGUUUCUUAGAGUAUGGUGCAUUAGGCACAAACCGUGCAAUAUCUUCUUAGAGUAUGGUGCAUUAGGCACAAACCAUACACCAUCUUGCACCGAAACUAACACUAUCUUUAAACAGACCAAAGCAAGAUAUCAGAUGACACACAUCAUCUAGGAGUUCCAUCGGGUGCAUCCAAAUUGAUUUUCAUGCAUAUGGUAUGUUCUAUGCAAACCGUGCACCUAUCUUACAUGAAGAUUAGCACUAUCUCCAAACAGAUCGUACCGAGCUUUCACUUGAGCCUCUCCACCUAGGAGUAACAUCGGGUGCUUCCACAAUGGUUUGUGAGCCUAUGGUGCAUUAGAGGGAAACCGUGCACCUAUCUUGCACCAGAACUAACACUAUCUCUAAAUGGACUAAAGUGAGAUUUCGUACGACACACGUCAUCUAGGAGUUCUAUCGGGUGCAUCCAAAUUGAUUUCUAAGCAUAUGGUACAUUCAUGCUAACUGUGCACCUAUCUUGCAUCAAGAUUAGCACUAUCUCCAAACAGACCAAACCGAGCUUUCACUUGAGCCCCUUUACCUAGGAGUACCAUCGGGCACGUCAAAAUCGUUUCUUAGCCUAUGGUGCAUUAGGCGCAAACCGUGCACCUAUCUUGCACUGAAUCUAACACUGUCUCCAAAAAGACCGAAGCUAGAUUCCAUGUGACACACAUCACAUUAGGCGCAAACCGAGCACCUAUCUUGCACCAAAACUAAUAUUGUCUCUAAACUGACCGAAGCAAGAUUCCAUAUGACACACGUCAUCUAGGAGUUUCAUUGGGAGUGUCCAAAUUGAUUUCUGAGCAUAUGAUAUGUUCCACACAAAUAGUGCACCUAUCUUGCAUCAAGAUUAGCAAUAUCUCUGAAUAGACCAAACUGAGCUUCCACUUGAGCCUCUUCACCUAGGAGUACCAUCGGGUGCUUCUAAAAUGGUUUCUUAGCCUAUGGUCCAUUUGGCACAAACCGUGCAUAUAUCUUGCACCGAAACUAACACUAUCUCUAAAUAGACCAAAGCGAGAUUUCAUAUGACACACGUCAUCUAGGAGUUUCAUCAGGUGCGUCCAUAUUUUUUCCAAGCAUAUGGUAUGUUCCAUGCAAAGCAUGCACCUAUCUUGCGUCAAGACUAGCACUAUCUGCAAAUAGACCAAACCAAGAUUCCACUUGAGCCUCUUCACCUAGGAGUGCCAAUAGGUGUGUCCAAAAUGGUUACUUAGACUAUGGUGCAUUAGGCAUAAAUUGUGCACCUAUCUUGCACUGAAACUAAUAUUGUCUCCAAACGGACCGAAGCGAGAUUCCAUAUGACACACUUCAUCUAGGAGUUCCAUCGGGUGCAUCCAAUUUGAUUUCCAAGCAUCUAGUACAUUCCAUGCAAACCGUGCACCUAUCUUGCAUCAAGAUUAGCACUAUCGCCAAACAGACCGAACCGAGCUUCCACUUGAGCCUCUUCAUCUAGCAGUACCAAUAGGUGCAUCCAAAAUUGUUUCUUAGCCUAUGGUGCAUUAGGUACAAACCGGGCAAUAUCUUACACCAAAACUAACAUUGUCUCCAAAUAGACCAAAACGAGAUUCUAUAUGACACAUGUCACCUAGGAGUUCCAUCACGUGCGUCCAAAUUUAUUUCUGAGCAUAUGGUACGCUCCAUGCAAACCGUGCAACUAUCUUGCAUCAUGAUUAGCACUAUCUCCAAAUAGACCGAACCGAGCUUCCAGUUGAGCCUCUUCAUCUAGGAGUACCAUCGGGUGCAUCCAAAAUGUUUUCUUAGAGUAUGGUGCAUUAGGCACAAUCCGUGCACCUAUCUUGCACCAAAACUAACACUAUCUCCAAAUAGAUUGUACUGAGCUUUCACUUGAGCGUCUUCACAUAGAAGUAACAUUGGGUGCUUCCACAACGGUUUCUGAGCCUAUGGUGCAUUAGACACAAAUCGUGCACCUAUCUUGCACCAAAACUAACACUAUCUCCAAAUGGACCAAAGUGAGAUUCCAUAUGACACACGUCAUCUUGGAGUUCUAUCGGGUGCAUCCAAAUUGAUUUCUAAGCAUAUGGUACAUUCCAUGCAAACUGUGCACCUAUCUUGCAUCAAGAUUAGCACUAUCUCCAAACAGACCAAACUGAGCUUUCACUUGAGCCCCUUCACCUAGGAGUACCAUCGGGUGCGUCCAAAAUCAUUUCUUAGAGUAUGGUGCAUUAGUCACAAACCUUGCAAUAUCUUCUUAGAGUAUGGUGCAUUAGGCACAAACCGUGCACCUACCUUGCACUGAAACUAACACUAUCUGCAAAUAGACCAAAGCGAGAUAUCACAUGACACACAUCAUCUAGGAGUUCUAUCGAGUGCGUACAAAUUGAUUAUCAAGCAUAUGGUACAUUCCAUACAAACCGUGCACCUAUAUUACAUUAAAAUUAGCACUAUCUCCAAAUAGAUCGUAGCAAGCUUUCACUUGAGCCUCUUCACCUAAGAGUACCAUCGGGUGCUUCCAUAAUGGUUUCUUAGCCUAUGGUGCAUUAGGCGCAAACCAUGCACCAAACUUGCACCGAAACGAACACUAUCUCCAAACGGACCGAAGUGAGAUUCCAUAUGACACACGUCAUCUAGGAGUUCAUCGGGUGCGUCCAAAUGCUUGGAAAUCAAUCUGGACGCACAUGAUGGAAUUCCUAGAUGACAUGUCAUACGAAAUCUUGCUUCGGUCUAUUUGGAGACAGUGUUAGUUUCGGUGCAAGAUAGGUGCAAGGUUUGCACAUAAUGCAGCAUAUGCUAAGAAACCAUUUUGGACGCACUCGAUGGUACUCCUAGGUAAAAGGCUCAAGUGAAAGCUCGGUUUGGUCUUUUUGGAGAUAGUGCUAAUCUUGAUGCAAGAUAGAUACACAGUCUGUAUGGAAUGUACCAUAUGUUUAGAAAUUAAUUUGGACAGACCCGAUAGAACUCCUUGAUGACGUGUGUCAUACGGAAUCUCGCUUUGGUGUGCUGAGAGACAGUAUUAGUUUCAGUGCAAGAAAUGUGUACGGUUUGCGCCUAAUGCACCAAAGUCUAAGAAACCAUUUUGGAAGCACCUGUUGGUACUCCUAGGUGAAGAGGUUCAAGUGGAGGCUCGGUUCGGUCUGUUUAGAGAUAGUGCUAAUCUUGAUGCAAGAUAGGUGCACGAUUUGCAAGGAACAUACCAUAUGCUCAAAAAUCAAUUUGGAUGCACCAGAUGGAACUCCUAGAUGACAUGUGUCAUAUGGAAUCUCACUUCGGUCCGUUUAGAGACAGUGUUAGUUUCGGUACAAGAUAGGUGCAUGGUUUGCACCGAAUGCACCAUAGGAUAAGAAACCAUUUUGGACGCACCCGAUGGUACUCCAGGUCAAGAUGCUGAAGUGAAAGCUCAGUUUUGUAUGUUUGGAGAUAGUGCUAAUCUUGAUAGAAAUCAAUUUGGAUGCACUAGAUGGAACUCCUUGAUGAUGUGUGUCAUAUGGAAUCUUGCUUCGGUUCUUUUAGAGAUAGUGUUAGUUUUGGUAGAAGAUAUGUGCACAGUUUACGCCUAAUGCACCAUAGGCUAAGAUACCAUUUUAGACGCAUCCGAUGGUACUCGUUGUAGAAGAGGCUCAAGUGGAGGCUUGAUUUGGUCUGUUCAUAUAUAGUGCUAAUCUUGAUGCAAGAUAGUUGCACAGUUUGCAUGGAACGUACCAUAUGUUAAGAAAUCAAUUUGGACGCACCUAAUGGAACUCCUAGAUGACGUGUGUCAUAUGCAAUCUCGCUUCAGUCUGUUGGGAGACAAUGUUAGUUUCGGUGCAAGAUAGGUGCAUAGUUUGUGCCUAAUGCACCAUAGUCUAAGAAACCAUUUUUGACGCACCUAUUUGUACUCCUAGAUAAAGAGGCUCAAGUGGAAGCUCGGUUCGGUCUGUUUGGAGAUAGUGCUAAUCUUGAUGCAAGAUAGGUGCACGGUUUGCAUGGAACAUACCAUAUGCUUGGAACUCAAUUUGGAUGCACCGGAUGGAACUCCUUGAUGACGUGUGAUAUAUGGAAUCUCUCUUUGGUCUGUUUAGAAACAGUUUUAGUUUUGGUGCAAGAUAUGUGCAUGGUUUGCGUCUAAUGCACCAUAGUCUAAGAAACCAUUUUGGAAGCACCUGUUGGUACUUCGGUGAAGAGGGUCAAGUGGAAGCUCAGUUUGAUCUGUUUGGAGAUAGUGCUAAUCUUGAUGCAAGAUAGAUGCACAGUCUGCAUGGAACGUACCAUAUGCUUAGAAAUUAAUUUGGACACACCCGAUAGAACUCUUUAAUGAUGUGUGUCAUAUGGAAUCUCGCUUUGGUGUGCUUAGAAACAGUAUUAGUUUCGGUGCAAGAUAUGUGCACGGUUUGCACCUAAUGCACCAAAGUCUAAGAAACCAUUUUGGAAGCACCUGUUGGUACUCCUAGAUGAAGAGGCUCAAGUGGAGGCUCGGUUCGGUCUGUUUAGAGAUAGUGCUAAUCUUGAUGCAAGAUAGGUGCAUGAUUUGCAUUGAACAUACCUUAUGCUUAGAAAUCAAUUUGGAUGCACUAGAUGGAACUCCUAGAUGACAUGUGUCAUAUGGAAUCUGACUUUGGUCUGUUUAGAGACAGUGUUAGUUUCGGUGCAAGAUAGGUGCACGGUUUGCACCUAAUGCACCAUAGGAUAAGAAACCAUUUUGGACGCACCCGAUGGUACUCCUAGGUCAAGGGGCUCAAGUGAAAUCACAGUUUGGUCUGUUUGGAGAUAGUGCUAAUCUUGAUGCAAGAUAGAUGCACGGUUUGCAUGGAACAUAUGAUUUAGUCAGAAAUCAAUUAGGACGCACCUGAUAUAACUCCUUGAUGAUGUGUGUCAUAUGGAAUCUUGGUUCGGUUCGUUUAGAGAUAGUGUUAGUUUUGGUAGAAGAUAUGUGAACGGUUUACACCUAAUGCACCAUAGGCUAAGAAUCCAUUUUAGACGCAUCCGAUGGUACUCGUAGUUGAAGAGGCUCAAGUGGAGGCUCGAUUUGGUCUGUUCGGAUAUAGUGCUAAUCAUGAUGCAAGAUAGUUGCACAGUUUGCAUGGAACGUACCAUAUGUUAGGAAAUCAAUUUGGACGCACCCAAUGGAACUCCUAGAUGACGUGUGUCAUAUGGAAUCUCGCUUCGGUCUGUUUGGAGACAAUGUUAGUUUCGGUGCAAGAUAGGUCCAUAGUUUAAGAAACCAUUUUUGAUGCACCUGUUUGUACUCCUAGAUGAAGAGGCUCAAGUGGACGCUCGGUUCGGUCUGUUUAGAGAUAGUGCUAAUCUUGAUGCAAGAUAGGUGCACGGUUUGCAUGGAGCAUACCAUAUGCUUAGAAUACAAUUUGGAUGCACCCGAUGGAACUCCUUGAUGACCUGUGUCAUAUGGAAUCUCUCUUUGGUCUAUUUAGAAACAGUGUUAAUUUCGGUGCAAGAUAUGUUCAUGGUUUGCACCUAAUGCACCAUAGUCUAAGAAACUAUUUUGGAAGCACGAAUUGGUACUUCGGUGAAGAGGCUCAGUGGAAGCUCGGUUUGAUUUGUUUGGAGAUAGUGCAAAUUUUGAUGCAAGAUAGGUGCAUAAUUUGCAUGGAACAUACCAUAUGCUUAGAAAUCAAUUUGGAUGCACCCAAUGGAACUCCUAAAUGACGUGUGUCAUAUGAAAUCUUGCUUCGGUUCGUUUGUAAACAUUGUAUGUUUUAGUGCAAGAUAGGUGCAUAGUUUGCGCCUAAUGCACCAUAGUCUAAGAAACCAUUUUGGACGCACUAUUUGGUACUCCUGGGUGAAGAGGCUCAAGUGGAAACUUGGUUUGGUCAGUUUGGAGAUAGUGCUAAUCCUAAUGCAAGGUAGGUGCAUGGUUAGCAUGGAACUUACCAUAUGUUUGGAAGUCAAUUUCGAUGCACCCGAUAGAACUCCUCGAUGACGUGUGACAUAUGGAAUCUCGCUUCGGUCCAUUUGGAGACAUUGUUAGUUUUGGUGCAAGAUAGGUGCACAGUUUGCACCUAAUGCACCAUAGUCUAAGAAACCAUUUUGGACGCACUUGUUGGUACUCCUAGGUGAAGGGGCUCAAGUGGUUGCUCGGUUCGGUCUGUUUGGAGAUAUUGCUAAUCUUGAUGCAAGAUAGGUGCACGGUUUGCAUGGAACAUACCAAAUGCUUGGAAAAUAAUCUGGAAGCACAUGAUGGAACUCCUAGAUGACGUGUGUCAUACGAAAUCUUGCUUCGGUAUAUUUGGAGACACUAUUAGUUUCGGUGCAGGAUAGGUGCAAGGUUUGCACAUAAUGCAGCAUAGGCUAAGAAACCAUUUUGGACGCACCCGAUGGUACUCCUAGGUAAAAGGCUCAAGUGAAAGCUCGGUUUGGUCUAUUUGGAGAUAGUGCUAAUGAUGCGAACCCGCUAGGGUUUUUGGCCUGAUCUUUCGAUGAGAGGCGCUGGAUAACUCGAUUAGUGGAUGGAGAUGACGUUCACGGCCCGACUACAGCCCUCAAGACCGCGCCUUAGCAACCGAUACACCACGUCCAACAGCCGUCACGAUCUUGUGGAGCGUGACAACCAGCCCCUACGGCUCCCGUCCUGCAAGCAAUCGAAGAACUAGCAAGGACGAGGAAACAAGCACUGAAUUUGCAAGAUAAAUUGAAGGUUUCAAACUGAAUCUGAAUCAACAAUGGGGUUCCGAAGACAAGGAGACGGGCGGCUGAUCCUGCACGCGCGCCUACAAGCAAGUAGCGAAGGCUAAACUUGAUCUAAACAAAACCCAGUUGUUCAUGGCGGCUCUAGAUGUAAAUAAAUAGAGGGGAGGACGACCAAAGGGGUGCUAGAGUCGUCCUCCAACCCUAGGACGCGUCCCUAAUGGACUCAACUUGAUACAUGGGCCAUUGGUCCAAAAUAGGGUGACACAGCACCAAAACAGAAAAAGGUGUCGGCACGAAAACAAGGACUGUGCCCGAUUCAUAAGCCGCAUAGAUAUGUGGUUGGACCCAUUGGAAAGUAGACUUCAUGAGCUUUCCAACAAGUAUAGGAACGUCCCUGUUGGAGUCCAUAUGACGCCGUGGUGAUCCAUACAAGUUAGAGUUAUUUUCCAGUCCGAAUCCAACUCCCAAAACGUGUUGGGUUUGGACUCUUUGUUUCCUUGCUUUAGAAACGACGUGGUAACUUGACAGAGGAUGUUGUGGAGGCUUGGACCUGAUCUCCAAUCACCUUUGUUAAGUUAUCACUCUUCCCAUAUGCAAUCAGCCCUUGAAGUUGGUGUUGCCUCAAAUUCUGAAUGCAGUUGAACCUUCCCUUGCUGAUCUUGUCCAUUAUUCCUGAGCAACACCAAAGUGCACGUGUCUCUAUUGUCUAAAUAUGAUUGACAAGAGUUUAAAGCUGAACUUACUUGAAGGUUGAGUUGACGGGCACGAGCACGAGUAAGAGGACCAGCUAUAGGUUGUGUCGGAGAGGAUGUAGGACCAGCUAUAGGUUGUGUCGGAGAUGUAGGAUAUGUAUCGCUGGUGGAUGUAGGAUAUGUAUCGCUGGUGGAUGUAGGAUAUGUAUCGCUGGUGUNNNNNNNNNNNNNNNNNNNNNNNNNNNNNNNNNNNNNNNNNNNNNNNNNNNNNNNNNNNNNNNNNNNNNNNNNNNNNNNNNNNNNNNNNNNNNNNNNNNNNNNNNNNNNNNNNNNNNNNNNNNNNNNNNNNNNNNNNNNNNNNNNNNNNNNNNNNNNNNNNNNNNNNNNNNNNNNNNNNNNNNNNNNNNNNNNNNNNNNNNNNNNNNNNNNNNNNNNNNNNNNNNNNNNNNNNNNNNNNNNNNNNNNNNNNNNNNNNNNNNNNNNNNNNNNNNNNNNNNNNNNNNNNNNNNNNNNNNNNNNNNNNNNNNNNNNNNNNNNNNNNNNNNNNNNNNNNNNNNNNNNNNNNNNNNNNNNNNNNNNNNNNNNNNNNNNNNNNNNNNNNNNNNNNNNNNNNNNNNNNNNNNNNNNNNNNNNNNNNNNNNNNNNNNNNNNNNNNNNNNNNNNNNNNNNNNNNNNNNNNNNNNNNNNNNNNNNNNNNNNNNNNNNNNNNNNNNNNNNNNNNNNNNNNNNNNNNNNNNNNNNNNNNNNNNNNNNNNNNNNNNNNNNNNNNNNNNNNNNNNNNNNNNNNNNNNNNNNNNNNNNNNNNNNNNNNNNNNNNNNNNNNNNNNNNNNNNNNNNNNNNNNNNNNNNNNNNNNNNNNNNNNNNNNNNNNNNNNNNNNNNNNNNNNNNNNNNNNNNNNNNNNNNNNNNNNNNNNNNNNNNNNNNNNNNNNNNNNNNNNNNNNNNNNNNNNNNNNNNNNNNNNNNNNNNNNNNNNNNNNNNNNNNNNNNNNNNNNNNNNNNNNNNNNNNNNNNNNNNNNNNNNNNNNNNNNNNNNNNNNNNNNNNNNNNNNNNNNNNNNNNNNNNNNNNNNNNNNNNNNNNNNNNNNNNNNNNNNNNNNNNNNNNNNNNNNNNNNNNNNNNNNNNNNNNNNNNNNNNNNNNNNNNNNNNNNNNNNNNNNNNNNNNNNNNNNNNNNNNNNNNNNNNNNNNNNNNNNNNNNNNNNNNNNNNNNNNNNNNNNNNNNNNNNNNNNNNNNNNNNNNNNNNNNNNNNNNNNNNNNNNNNNNNNNNNNNNNNNNNNNNNNNNNNNNNNNNNNNNNNNNNNNNNNNNNNNNNNNNNNNNNNNNNNNNNNNNNNNNNNNNNNNNNNNNNNNNNNNNNNNNNNNNNNNNNNNNNNNNNNNNNNNNNNNNNNNNNNNNNNNNNNNNNNNNNNNNNNNNNNNNNNNNNNNNNNNNNNNNNNNNNNNNNNNNNNNNNNNNNNNNNNNNNNNNNNNNNNNNNNNNNNNNNNNNNNNNNNNNNNNNNNNNNNNNNNNNNNNNNNNNNNNNNNNNNNNNNNNNNNNNNNNNNNNNNNNNNNNNNNNNNNNNNNNNNNNNNNNNNNNNNNNNNNNNNNNNNNNNNNNNNNNNNNNNNNNNNNNNNNNNNNNNNNNNNNNNNNNNNNNNNNNNNNNNNNNNNNNNNNNNNNNNNNNNNNNNNNNNNNNNNNNNNNNNNNNNNNNNNNNNNNNNNNNNNNNNNNNNNNNNNNNNNNNNNNNNNNNNNNNNNNNNNNNNNNNNNNNNNNNNNNNNNNNNNNNNNNNNNNNNNNNNNNNNNNNNNNNNNNNNNNNNNNNNNNNNNNNNNNNNNNNNNNNNNNNNNNNNNNNNNNNNNNNNNNNNNNNNNNNNNNNNNNNNNNNNNNNNNNNNNNNNNNNNNNNNNNNNNNNNNNNNNNNNNNNNNNNNNNNNNNNNNNNNNNNNNNNNNNNNNNNNNNNNNNNNNNNNNNNNNNNNNNNNNNNNNNNNNNNNNNNNNNNNNNNNNNNNNNNNNNNNNNNNNNNNNNNNNNNNNNNNNNNNNNNNNNNNNNNNNNNNNNNNNNNNNNNNNNNNNNNNNNNNNNNNNNNNNNNNNNNNNNNNNNNNNNNNNNNNNNNNNNNNNNNNNNNNNNNNNNNNNNNNNNNNNNNNNNNNNNNNNNNNNNNNNNNNNNNNNNNNNNNNNNNNNNNNNNNNNNNNNNNNNNNNNNNNNNNNNNNNNNNNNNNNNNNNNNNNNNNNNNNNNNNNNNNNNNNNNNNNNNNNNNNNNNNNNNNNNNNNNNNNNNNNNNNNNNNNNNNNNNNNNNNNNNNNNNNNNNNNNNNNNNNNNNNNNNNNNNNNNNNNNNNGAUAAUAUUCUUCUACACUUUUAGCACCUUGUCUUAACUGCUGCAACUUAUUUAUCAUAUCACGCGCAUAGUAAGAUGAAACAAAUCUAGCUCUCAUGGCCCUUUUCAGCGCAUCCCAAGUUCUAGGUAAGUUAUUAGGAUUUUUCUUUCCAUAUUCUAUCCACCAAACAGAAGCAAAAUCUGUAAACUCACUAGUAGCAGCCCUAACACGUGUAGUCUCAGGAAAUUCAUGACAUGCAAACUUUUGAUCAACAGCAAUCUCCCAAGUGAUGUAAGCAUCAGGGUCAAAUUUACCAUCAAAAGGAGGUAUCUUAAAUUUAAUCUUACUGAAAGCAUCAUCAUUAUUGUGCACCUCGCGUCGGCGGUUGCCACCCAUACCUCUACGGUUGUGACGAAGGCGACGUCGAUCACGAGUGUCUUGAUCAUCAUGUUCAGUAUCACCAGUGUAGUCAUCUUCAUGACUACCGUGCUCUCGAUCUCUCUCCUUUUCUUCUUUAUGCUUCUCUUUAUCUUCGGUGUGGAAAUCAUCAAAUCGCCUUAGGAGAGCAGCAAGGCUUUUGUCCACACUAGCAACGGAUUCCUCCAAACGUGUGAGCUUGUUGUUUGUGGCAAUCUGCGUAGCCUCCAACUGCCCCAGCUUUUCAUUUGUCACCUGCAAGUCGUUAUCAAGUCCCUCUCUGUGCAGCCUCACUUUCCUUUCAAAAUGUUGUAUGAUGCCCUUAGUGCGAGGUGUAAGUGGUGUUUCGUUACCAUCAUCUGCCCCUGGCAUGGUUCAAAGACAAAGACAACAAAAAGGCAAGUGAAGAAAUAAAAGCCCUACAACUACUAGGAUGUAGCUACAGCAAGUCGCUCACACUCAACCUGUAACAUAAGUUCUUACCAAUUCUUACCUUGCUUGACAGGAGGGGUCGUCUGCCAACAAGUGUACAGCAAUGGACGAAGUGUAUCGGUGCUGCAGCACAAGACCUGUCAAGCUGUAGAGUAUGUGGAGCUAUAGGUGGGCUGAAACAAGGAUCGAACUAGCACCACGUUAGUUAUAAAAAGCAAGUUGAAUAAACGCUCAACGGUGUUACUGUGCUGGUCCUAGCCUAGACCGUGCUAGAGACGCGAGCCUGGACACAAAGGGAAAACACAGCACACCACUGGAAACAAAAUGAGCAGCCCUACUGGAAACAAAAGGAACAACAAUCCCCUUUUUUUAUUUAUUUUUUCUCUUUUUUUUAUUUCUUUCUUUUUUUUUCUUUCUCUUUUCUUUUUUUUUGGGAACCUCAAAACCUGAUUAUAUAAACAAAAUAGUACAAAAUAUCACUUCACCACUCUCACCCUCUCACUAGAGUAAGGCUGAAACUCAAAAUUCAAUAUAUCUAGCACAAGUAUGAAGUGCUAUCUUUCCUUUUGGAUCACGUUGAUGGAAACGCAGAAUAGACCAACAAGUGGCUGCACCUAUUAUCAAGAUCUACUCAAAUUCCAGCCCACAAUAGAUUGGACGCAGUUGUGACUAGAUGGUGACAAGAACUCAAAACUCUAAAGGACUAAACUAAAACCAGCACUGGACACGACCGAAGCAAACACUCAUUCAACCAGCCCUAACUAAGUAGUACUAGCCACGGCACAAAUGAUUUAUAGGAUUAUGGAAAACAAAUCUGCUAUAUUUUUUGUCUUUUUUGGACUAUAGGAAAAACAAACACGAAGAAUUGGAAAUCUCUCACCGAUAAACCUUGCUCUGAUUACCAACUGGUGCGAACCCGCUAGGGUUUUUGGCCUGAUCUUUCGAUGAGAGGCGCUGGAUAACUCGAUUAGUGGAUGGAGAUGACGUUCACGGCCCGACUACAGCCCUCAAGACCGCGCCUUAGCAACCGAUACACCACGUCCAACAGCCGUCACGAUCUUGUGGAGCGUGACAACCAGCCCCUAGGGCUCCCGUCCUGCAAGCAAUCGAAGAACUAGCAAGAACGAGGAAACAAGCACUGAAUUUGCAAGAUGAAUUGAAGGUUUCAAACUGAAUCUGAAUCAACAAUGGGGUUCCGAAGACAAGGAGACGGGCGGCUGAUCCUGCACGCGCGCCUACAAGCAAGUAGCGAAGGCUAAACUUGAUCUAAACAAAACCCAGUUGUUCAUGGCGGCUCUAGAUGUAAAUAAAUAGAGGGGAGGACGACCAAAGGGGUGCUAGAGUCGUCCUCCAACCCUAGGACGCGUCCCUAAUGGACUCAACUUGAUACAUGGGCCAUUGGUCCAAAAUAGGGUGACGCAGCACCAAAACAGAAAAAGGUGUCGGCACGAAAACAAGGAUUGCGCCCGCCUCAUAAGCCGCAUAGAUAUGUGGUUGGACCCAUUGGAAAGUAGACUUCAUGAGCUUUCCAACAAGUAUAGGAACGUCAUAGUUGGAGUCCAUAUGACGCCGUGGUGAUCCAUACAAGUUAGAGUUAUUUUCCAGUCCGAAUCCAACUCCCAAAACGUGUUGGGUUUGGACUCUUUGUUUCCUUGCUUUAGAAACGACGUGGUAACUUGACAGAGGAUGUUGUGGAGGCUUGGACCUCAUCUCCAAUCACCUUUGUUAAGUUAUCACUCUUCCCAUAUGCAAUCAGCCCUUGAAGUUGGUGUUGCCUCAAAUUCUGAAUGCAGUUGAACCUUCCCUUGCUGAUCUUGUCCAUUAUUCCUGAGCAACACCAAAGUGCACGUGUCUCCAUUGUCUAAAUAUGAUUGACAAGAGUUUAAAGCUGAACUUACUUGAAGGUUGAGUUGACGGGAACGAGCACGUGUAAGAGGACCAGCUAUAGGUUGUGUCGGAGAGGAUGUAGGACCAGCUAUAGGUUGUGUCGGAGAUGUAGGAUAUGUAUCGCUGGUGGAUGUAGGAUAUGUAUCGCUGGUGGAUGUAGGAUAUGUAUCGCUGGUGUUGAUGUCCUCAUCAUCCUCCCUUUCUUGCAUUUGAGUCGUCCUCGACUCAAGCUCAUCUUCCUCACCCAAAUAAGGCUUCAAAUCUGCAAUGUUAAAUGUGGGACUAACCCCAAAAUCUGCAGGAAGAUCAAGCUUAUAUGCAUUCUCAUUAAUUCGUUGCAGCACUUUAAAAGGACCAUCAGCUCUAGGCAUCAAUUUGGAUUUUCUCAGUUCUGGAAAUCUAUCUUUUCGCAAAUGCAACCAAACCAAAUCCCCAGGUUCCAGAAUCAAUUGCUUUCUACCUUUAUCUCCCAAUUUCAUACGAAUCUGGUGGUACCCACUACGUAAAUCAACUUUUGAAAACACAACAGCACCACUCAGUUCAUCUAGCAUAUCAUCUAAUCGUGGAAUAGGGUGUCGAUAUCGAAUGAUGAUAUUAUUAAUAGCUCUACAAUCAACACACAUACGCCAUGUUCCAUCUUUCUUAGGCACUAAAAUUACUGGAACAGCACAAGGACUAAGAAAUUCUCGGACAUAACCUUUGUCUAGUAGUUCUUGCACUUGUCGCUGAAUUUCCUUUGUUUCCUCCAGGUUCGUCCUGGAUGGUCCACGAUUUGGCAAAACUGCUCCAGGAAUAAGAUCAAUUUGGUGCUCAAUCCCGCGUAGUGGAGGCAGCCCCGCUGGUACCUCACUUGGAAACACAUCAGAAUACUCUUGCAAAACGUUAGCAACAGCAGGGGGCAAAGAACAUUGCAUAUCCUCAAUUGAAAUCAAAGCAUCCUUGCAUAUCAAAGCAUAAGCAACAGAAGUGGAUGCAUUGAACUCAUUAAUAUCUGAUUUGGUAGCUAUCAUACAACGUCCUUUCAGUUUUAUCUCAUCUUUGUUACCAAUUACAGAUUUAUCAUUUUUAUUGCUCUUGCUCUUUGCUUUAGUAGCCCUAGCAACAUCAGUUUGCAUAAUAGUUUCAGGGGACAUAGGAUGCAACACAAUUUUGCGAUCAUGGUAUAGAAAAGAAUACUGAUUUGAUCUACCAUGAUGCAUAGAAUCUCUAUCAAAUUGCCAAGGACUACCUAGCAGAAUGUUACAAGCUUGCAUAGGCACAACAUCACAUUCAACAAUAUCUUUGUAGGAUCCGAUGGAAAAAUUAAUUCUCACAAGUCUAGUUACCUUUGCCUUACCACUGUUGUUCAACCAUUGGAUGUAGUAGGGAUGCGGGUGUGGUUUGGUGUUGAGGGCAAGCUUCUGCACCAUAUCGCUGCUUGCCAAGUUGUUGCAGCUACCUCCAUCAAUGAUCAUGCGACAAGAACGCUCUUUGAUGACACACUUUGUUUGGAAUAAAAUGUGUCGCUGAUUUUGUUCCGCCAUCUCCAAUUCUGCACUAAGCACUCGCUGCACGAUCAAGCUCUCAUAGUGGUCCGCUUCACCUGCAUUAAUAUGUUCUUCUAUUUGAUCUUCAUUACCUGCAUGGUCAGUCGCAAGCAGUGCAAGUGUAUCCUCAUCAAAAUCACUAGCAGAUGAGUACUCACCAUCAUCCUUGACAAUCAUAACUCGCUUGUUUGGGCAGUCACGCAUCAUGUGCCCAUAUCCCUUGCACCGAUGACAUUGUAUGUUGCUUGUUCUACCCAUCGAUGCCACGGAUGAAGUACUCGCAGCAGGCUUUUGCAUCGUCUUCGUAACUGAAUUGGUGGGGGAAGCUCGAGCCUUGUCACUAGAUGAUGGAGUAGAAAUACGUGUAGAUGGAGUUGAAGCCAUGUGUUGCUGCCAUGAAUUAGCCUUCCCUGCAGAAAUAUUACUCCUUGCGCUAGCACGUCGUCCCUGCACUUCCCUUUCAGCUUUACAAGCAAGAUGAAACAAAUGGGUUACAUUAUUGUAUUCUUUGUAAGCGAGGAUGUCCUGAAUUUCCUGAUUUAACCCACCCAAAAAUCUAGCCAUAGCCGGUUCCUCAUCCUCCUCUAGGUUACAACGCAACAUAGCCGUUUGUAAUCCCUGAUAAUAUUCUUCUACACUUUUAGCACCUUGUCUUAACUUCUGCAACUUAUUUAUCAUAUCACGCGCAUAGUAAGAUGAAACAAAUCUAGCUCUCAUGGCCCUUUUCAGCGCAUCCCAAGUUCUAGGUAAGUUAUUAGGAUUUUUCUUUCCAUAUUCUAUCCACCAAACAGAAGCAAAAUCUGUAAACUCACUAGUAGCAGCCCUAACACGUGUAGUCUCAGGAAAUUCAUGACAUGCAAACUUUUGAUCAACAGCAAUCUCCCAAGUGAUGUAAGCAUCAGGGUCAUAUUUACCAUCAAAAGGAGGUAUCUUAAAUUUAAUCUUACUGAAAGCAUCAUCAUUAUUGUGCACCUCGCGUCGGCGGUUGCCACCCAUACCUCUACGGUUGUGACGAAGGCGACGUCGAUCACGAGUGUCUUGAUCAUCAUGUUCAGUAUCACCAGUGUAGUCAUCUUCAUGACUACCGUGCUCUCGAUCUCUCUCCUUUUCUUCUUUAUGCUUCUCUUUAUCUUCGGUGUGGAAAUCAUCAAAUCGCCUUAGGAGAGCAGCAAGGCUUUUGUCCACACUAGCAACGGAUUCCUCCAAACGUGUGAGCUUGUUGUUUGUGGCAAUCUGCGUAGCCUCCAUCUGCCCCAGCUUUUCAUUUGUCACCUGCAAGUCGUUAUCAAGUCCCUCUCUGUGCAGCCUCACUUUCCUUUCAAAAUGUUGUAUGAUGCCCUUAGUGCGAGGUGUAAGUGGUGUUUCGUUACCAUCAUCUGCCCCUGGCAUGGUUCAAAGACAAAGACAACAAAAAGGCAAGUGAAGAAAUAAAAGCCCUACAACUACUAGGAUGUAGCUACAGCAAGUCGCUCACACUCAACCUGUAACAUAAGUUCUUACCAAUUCUUACCUUGCUUGACAGGAGGGGUCGUCUGCCAACAAGUGUACAGCAAUGGACGAAGUGUAUCGGUGCUGCAGCACAAGACCUGUCAAGCUGUAGAGUAUGUGGAGCUAUAGGUGGGCUGAAACAAGGAUCGAACUAGCACCACGUUAGUUAUAAAAAGCAAGUUGAAUAAACGCUCAACGGUGUUACUGUGCUGGUCCUAGCCUAGACCGUGCUAGAGACGCGAGCCUGGACACAAAGGGAAAACACAGCACACCACUAGAAACAAAAUGAGCAGCCCUACUGGAAACAAAAGGAACAACAAUCCCCUUUUUUUAUUUUUUUUUCUCUUUUUUUUUCUUUCUUUCUUUCUUUUUUUUCUUUCUCUUUUCUUUUUUUUGGGGAACCUCAAAACCUGAUUAUAUAAACAAAAUAGUACAAAAUAUCACUUCACCACUCUCACCCUCUCACUAGAGUAAGGCUGAACCUCAAAAUUCAAUAUAUCUAGCACAAGUAUGAAGUGCUAUCUUUCCUUUUGGAUCACGUUGAUGGAAACGCAGAAUAGACCAACAAGUGGCUGCACCUAUUAUCAAGAUCUACUCAAAUUCCAGCCCACAAUAGAUUGGACGCAGUUGUGACUAGAUGGUGACAAGAACUCAAAACUCUAAAGGACUAAACUAAAACCAGCACUGGACACGACCGAAGCAAACACUCAUUCAACCAGCCCUAACUAAGUAGUACUAGCCACAGCACAAAGGAUUUAUAGGAUUAUGGAAAACAAAUCUGCUAUAUUUUUUGUCUUUUUUUGGACUAUAGGAAAAACAAACACGAAGAAUUGGAAAUCUCUCACCGAUAAACCUUGCUCUGAUUACCAACUGAUGCGAACCCGCUAGGGUUUUUGGCCUGAUCUUUCGAUGAGAGGCGCUGGAUAACUUGAUUAGUGGAUGGAGAUGAUGUUCAUGGCCCGACUACAGCCCUCAAGACCGCGCCUUAGCAACCGAUACACCACGUCCAACAGCCGUCACGAUCUUGUGGAGCGUGACAACCAGCCCCUAGGGCUCCCGUCCUGCAAGCAAUCGAAGAACUAGCAAGAACGAGGAAACAAGCACUGAAUUUGCAAGAUGAAUUGAAGGUUUCAAACUGAAUCUGAAUCAACAAUGGGGUUCCGAAGACAAGGAGACGGGCGGCUGAUCCUGCACGCGCGCCUACAAGCAAGUAGCGAAGGCUAAACUUGAUCUAAACAAAACCCAGUUGUUCAUGGCGGCUCUAGAUGUAAAUAAAUAGAGGGGAGGACGACCAAAGGGGUGCUAGAGUCAUCCUCCAACCCUAGGACGCGUCCCUAAUGGACUCAACUUGAUACAUGGGCCAUUGGUCCAAAAUAGGGUGACGCAGCACCAAAACAGAAAAAGGUGUCGGCACGAAAACAAGGACUGCGCCCGAUUCAUAAGCCGCAUAGAUAUGUGAUUGGACCCAUUGGAAAGUAGACUUCAUGAGCUUUCCAACAAGUAUAGGAACGUCCCUGUUGGAGUCCAUAUGACGCCGUGGCGAUCCAUACAAGUUAGAGUUAUUUUCCAGUCCGAAUCCAACUCCCAAAACGUGUUGGAUUUGGACUCUUUGUUUCCUUGCUUUAGAAACGACGUGGUAACUUGACAGAGGAUGUUGUGGAGGCUUGGACCUGAUCUCCAAUCACCUUUGUUAAGUUAUCACUCUUCCCAUAUGCAAUCAGCCCUUGAAGUUGGUGUUGCCUCAAAUUCUGAAUGCAGUUGAACCUUCCCUUGCUGAUCUUGUCCAUUAUUCCUGAGCAACACCAAAGUGCACGUGUCUCCAUUGUCUAAAUAUGAUUGACAAGAGUUUAAAGCUGAACUUACUUGAAGGUUGAGUUGACGGGCACGAGCACGAGUAAGAGGACCAGCUAUAGGUUGUGUCGGAGAGGAUGUAGGACCAGCUAUAGGUUGUGUCGGAGAUGUAGGAUAUGUAUCGCUGGUGGAUGUAGGAUAUGUAUCGCUGGUGGAUGUAGGAUAUGUAUCGCUGGUGUUGAUGUCCUCAUCAGCUAAUCUUGAUGCAAGAUAGAUGCACGGUCUGCAUGGAACGUACCAUAUGCUUAGAAAUUAAUUUGGACACACCCGAUAGAACUCCUUGAUGACGUGUGUCAUAUGGAAUCUCGCUUUGGUGUGCUUAGAGAUAGUAUUAGUUUCGGUGCAAGAUAUGUGCACAGUUUGCGCCUAACGCUCCAAAGUCUAAGAAACCAAUUUGGAAGCACCUGUUAGUACUCCUAGGUGAAGAGGCUCAAGUGGAGGCUCGGUUCGGUCUGUUUAGAGAUAGUGCUAAUCUUCAUGCAAGAUAGGUGCACGAUUUGCAUGGAACAUUCCAUAUGCUCAGAAAUCAAUUUGGACGCACCAGAUGUAACUCCUAGAUGAGAUGUGUCGUAUGGAAUCUCACUUCGGUCCGUUUAGAGACAGUGUUAGUUUCGGUGCAAGAUAGGUAACCGGUUUGCACCUAAUGCACCAUAGGAUAAGAAACCAUUUUGGACGCACCCGAUGGUACUCAUAGUUGAAGAGGCUCAUGUGAAGGCUCGAUUUGGUCUGUUCGGAUAUAGUGCUAAUCUUGAUGCAAGAUAGUUGCACAGUUUGAAUGCAACGUACCAUACGUUAAGAAAUCAAUUUGGACGCACCCAAUGGAACUCUUAGAUGACGUGUGUCAUAUGGAAUCUCGAUUCGGUCUGUUUGGAGACGAUGUUUGUUUCGGUCCAAGAUAGGUGCAUAGUUUGUGCCUAAUGCACCAUAGUCUAAGAAACCAUUUUUGACGCACCUGUUUGUACUCCUAGAUGAAGAGGCUCAAGUGGAAGCUCGGUUCGGUCUGUUUAGAGAUAGUGCUACUCUUGAUUCAAGAUAGGUGCACGGUUAGCAUGGAACAUACCAUAUGCUUGGAAAUCAAUUUGGAUGCACCCGAUGGAACUCCUCGAUGACGUGUGUCAUAUGGAAUCUCACUUUGGUCUAUUUAGAAGCAAUGUUAGUUUCGGUGCAAGAUAUGUGCAUGGUUUGCGGCUAAUGCACCAUAGUCCAAUAAUCCAUUUUGGAAGCACUUGUUGGUACUUUGGUGAAGAGGCUCAAGUGGAAGCUCGGUUUGAUCUGUUUGGAGAUAGUGCUAAUCUUGAUGCAAGAUAGGUGCAUGAUUUGCAAGGAACAUACCAUAUGCUUAGAAAUCAAUUUGGACGCACCCAAUGGAACUCCUAGAUGACGUGUGUCAUAUGGAAUUUUGCUUCGGCCCGUUUGUAGACAUUGUAAGUUUUAGUGCAAGAUAGGUGCACAGUUUGCGCCUAAUGCUCCAUAGUCUAAGAAACCAUUUUGGACACACUUGUUGGUAGUCUUAUGUGAAGGGGCUCAAGUGGAUGCUCGGUUCGGUCUGUUUGGAGGUAGUGCUAAUCUUGAUGCAAGAUAGGUGCACGGUUUGCAUGGAACAUACCAAAUUGCUUGGAAAUCAAUCUGGACGCACACGAUGGAACUCCUAGAUGACGUGUGUCAUACAAAAUCUUGCUUCGGUCUGUUUGGAGACAGUGUUAGUUUCGGUGCAAGAUAGGUGUAAGGUUUGCACAUAAUGCAGCAUAGGCUAAGAAACCAUUUUAGACGCACCCGAUGGUACUCCUAGGUAAAAGGCUCAAGUGAAAGCUCGGUUUGUUCUAUUUGGAGAUAGUGCUAAUGUUGAUGCAAGAUAGGUGCACGGUCUGCAAUGAACGUACCAUAUGCUUAGAAAUUAAUUUGGACACACCCGAUAGAACUCCUUGAUGACAUGUGUCAUAUGGAAUCUCGCUUUGGUGUGCUUAGAGAUAGUAUUAAUUUGAAUGCAAGAUAUGUGCACGGUUUGCGCCUAAUGCACCAAAGUCUAAGAAACCAUUUCGGAAGUACCUGUUGGUACUCCUAGGUGAAGUGGCUUAAGUGGAGGCUCGGUUCGGUCUAUUUAGAGAUAGUGGUAAUCUUGAUGCAAGAUAGGUGCACGAUUUGCAUGGAACAUACCAUAUGAUCAGAAAUCAAUUUGGACGCACAUCUUGCAUCAUAUGUCAUCUAGGAGUUCCAUCUGGUGCGUCCAAAUUGAUUUAUGAGCAUAUGGUAUGUUCCAUGCAGACCGUGUAUCUUGCAUCAAGAUUAGCACUAUCUCCAAAUAGACCAAACCGAGCUUUCACUUGAGCCUUUUACCUAGGAGUACCAUCGGGUGAGUCCAAAAUGGUUUCUUAGCCUAUGCUGCAUUAUGUGCAAACUUUGCACCUAUCUUGCACCAAAACUAACAUUGUCUCCAAGCAGACCAAAUCAAGAUUUUGUAUGACACACGUCAUCUAGGAGUUCCAUCAUGUGUGUCCAGAUUUAUUUCUAAGCAUAUGGUAUGUUUCUUGUAAAUCAUGCACCUAUCUUGCAUCAAGAUUAGCACUAUCUCCAAACAUAUCAAACCGAGCUUCCACUUGAGCCUCUUCACCGAAGUACCAACAGGUGCUUCCAAAAUGGUUUCUUAGACUAUGGUGCAUUAGGCGCAAACCAUGCACAUAUCUUGCACCGAAACUAACAAUAUUUCUAAACAGACCAAAGUGAGAUUCCAUAUGACACACGUGAAAGCCCAAGUUUGGUUUUGGUAAUUAAUGACACCAAGUUGCUAAUGCCUUGUAUUUAAGUGAUUUUAGUUAGGCGUAGCAACACACGUGAUGAAGAUGCAUGGUGGCAUGGAAAGGUGGCCACAUGAUCACAAAGGGAUGAAGCAUGAAGUGAAGAUCAUGGUGAUAGACGAGGAGCAAAGUUAUCAAGGCAAAGGUAUAAACAUAGGGUUUUACUUUUGCCGGUCUAAGAUGAGUAGAGAAGUGAUUGACCGGGUUUAGGAUAGAUAGCCGACUAUCUAGAGGGGAAAUCACGGUCAUCUCUCGAAUCAAGUGCUACUAGGUCUACAUCUUGAGCAUAUGCAUGAGGAUCUAGUAAAGUGCUAACUUAACUCCUUUGGGUAAAAAUGUUUGUGAAAAGCUAACACACAUGCACUUUGGUGGUGGACACUUGUUGGUUUUAGCACAUUUGCAAAGGAGGUGGUUAACGUAGGCGUUUUGCGACCCACUCUGCGCAUGGGUCCGGUGACCACCGGACGCUACCGGUGCUUAGCGUCCGGUGACCCGCAGGUUUGCGGAACUCUUUGCGCAUGAGUCCGGUGUGCACCGGACGCGUCCGGUGAUCCGCAGGUGACCGUUAGGAUCUGACACACGAGAUUCAGGACGGACACGUGGCCAACUCCAGUGCACCGGACGUAGGGAGUCGAGCGUCCGGUGCUCACUUAGUAGCGUCCGGUGCCCCCGAUUUCUGCCCAGAGAAAGUGGCCAACAGCUAGUUCUUUGAGGGGGCUUAUAAAUAGUUGGUGGCCGGCUUUGGGCGGUUCUCUCUUGCACAUUUGAUUACUUGAGGCAUACAUUGAGCUAGAGAACACUCCCUCCACUCAUCUCCUUGCUUGAUUGCUAAUCCUAGUGAGAUUGAGUGAGAUUCAAGUGCAUUGCUUUGAGAGUUGCAUUUAAUGGCACUUGAUUCUUGAGUUUGAUGCGGAUUUCUUGUUACUCUUGGGUGUUUCCCGACGCCCUAGACGGCUUGGAGCAGCGGUGGUGUUGAGCUCGUGAUUGGAGAAUGUUUCGAGCCUCACCAAGUAAUUUGUGAGGGGUUCUUGAGCCUUCCCCGCAGGAGAUCGCAAUUGGCUACUCUAGUGGAUUGCUCGUGGCUUGGAGGAUCCCCAUCUUGUGAGUGGAUGUGUGGCACCCACUGAGGGUUUGGCUUUGGAUUGCCAAUUAGCUCGUGAUCCAUCAAGUGGGUGUAUCGCCACAACGAGGACUAGCUUGCCGGGAAGUAAGUGAACCUCGGUAAAAAAUCUUGUGUCAUCUCUUCCCGAGGAUUCUCUUGUGAUUGUGAGUGAUUGGUUCGAUAUAUCUCUACUCUACAACGUUGGUAUAACAAUCACUCUCCACUCCUUUACUCACUUGUAUGCCUUGCUUGUUGUUUAGUUUAGUUUUCUUGUUUAGGAGUGUAGCUAGCUUUCUUAGUUGUUGUGUUUUAGUGUUUAGCCUUGUACUAGUUUCUAUUGGUGGCUUGCAUAGCUUAGUUGAGCUAGUGCUAGUUUUGCUUUGCCAUUUGUUUUACUAACUCACUUGCUUAGUGAAGUUUGUAGAAAUUUUAAAUAGGCUAUUCACCCCCCCUCUAGCCAUUUGGACCUUUCAAGUGGUAUCGGAGCCGAGGCACCGUUUAUUUGAGGCUUAACAACCUACGGUGAAGAAAUGGCUCUUAGUUUGCAUAUCAACAACACUAAGAAGGCACCUUACUUUGAUGGCACAAAUUAUGCUUAUUGGAAGGUCAAGAUGACCGCCCAUCUCAAGUCAAUCAAUAGAGAAGUUUGGAAGGUGACCGAAACAAAGUUUGAGGUUGCAAAUGAGAAUGCACCAACACCGGUGGAAGAAAAGAAGCUUCAAUGCAAUGACAUUGCAAUUAGUGCUCUUCAUGAAGCUCUUGAUGACAAGACCUUUGAGCAAAUCAAGAACAUUGAGAUUGCUCAUGAUGCAUGGGCAAAACUAGAAGAAACAUUUGAGGGCACCAAGGGAACCAAGACCGCCAAGGCAUACUGAAAGGAUCAAGAUGCCCAAGAGGGGGGUGAAUUGGGCUUCUCUAAAAAUUUAAGCAACCUAUAAGCUUCAAUUCAACCUCUUGUGCCUAGUGUAACUUAGAGAGCUACCGGAUAAAAAGUUUUGCAACCUAGUUCCAAUCCUAUUCUAGCAUGGCAAUUGUAAGAAUGUAAAAACACAAAGUAAAUACUAGAAAGUAAAGGAGUAGUGGAAGAAAUUGCUCGGCGAUGUUUUGCCGAGGUAUCGGAGAGUCGCCACUCUCCACUAGUCCUCGUUGGAGCACCCGCGCAAGGGUCUUGCUCCCCCUUGGUCCGCGCAAGGACCAAGUGCUCUCUAGGGGCUGAUUCUUCGACACUCCGUCGCGGUGAAUCGCCCAAAAACCGCUCACAAGCUUGACACGAGCCACCCACAAGAACUCCGGGUGAUCUUCGUGCCUCCAAUCACCACCGAACCGUCUAGGUGAUGGCGAUCACCAAGAGUAACAAGCAAAGAACUCUCACUUGACCCAAACAAGACACUAGAGAGUGAUGGAUGCACACUUGACUCUUGGAACUCACUAGAGGAGGAUUCUCUCAAGAAUUCACUCAAAAACCAAUCCUCUCUAGGCUCUUUGCAACUCUCUUGCUCCACAACAAGUUUCGCUGAUGUUCAAAUGGGCAAGAGAGGUCUCAUGGACGAGGUGGAGAAGUAUAAAUACUAUCCACGAAGUCCAAAGGUCGGCCAACCGUUUUCCACUAAAAAACGGGGUCACGGACGCACGUUAUGUUGCACCGGACGCACUGCACCGAGCGUCCGGUGUGACAUAACGGCUACCUGCGCUUUUCUCUGACAGGUCACCGGACGCUAACUCUCAGCGUCCGGUGCACCGUCCGGUGCUCGGGGAAACCUUACAUGCUCCCUGCGCAUGGGACCGGACGCUACCCGGCGCGUCCGGUGCUAGCGUCCGGUGCUCAGGGGAACUUUGCAAGCUCCCUGGGUAAGGGACCGGACGCUGCCCGGUGCGUCCGGUGCCAGCGUCCGGUGCCUAGCCCUAAGCACCAAACUGUUCCAACGGCUAAGGACCCCACCGGACGCACUCACAGAGCGUCCGGUGCAGCGUCCGGUGCCCCUUUGGGAACCCAAACUUCAUCGAAACGCGAUCGCUCCAACACGAAGUUUGUUCCUCUCGAUCUAAGGACUAUCUCUGAGCUGCCUAGUGCUAGGUUUACCAAGUGUGCACCACACCUAAACCUAAAGCCUUGCCUAAGUCAAGCUACUAGAUCAAAGCCCCUCUUAAUAGUACGGUCAAAGGAAAAACAAGGUCCUAAACUACUCUAAGCGCCCUUCUUCACCAUAUGGCACUUAGACCUAGUCUAGUCUUGACGAUGUCCAUCCAUCCUUUGAAAACCGAAACGAUUUCCACUAUUAAGUAGGCAUGUACGUCCCUGUCCAUCGAGUAUCUAUAUACCAUGACCUUACCUAUGACUUUGCCUCUACAAAACACAUGUUAGUCAUAGUAAUCAAUAAUGUCAUUAAUCACCGAAAUCACUAGGGGCCUAGAUGCUCUUUCAAUCUCCCCCUUUUUGGUGAUUGAUGACAACCUCGAGUAUGAAAAGAGUUGAGGUUUUCAAAGUGACUUGGUUUCAAUAAGCAUAUGACAAUAAGACUAAAAGGAUUAGUAAUGCUUAUAUCAACCAAGUCCAAUACCCUGCAUCCAAAUAUGUGAGUGGUAUACGACAGGAUAUAAACACUAGGCUCAUAAGUAUAACGGAGUAGACAUGCGGAAGCAAAAAGUAAUAAGAGCCAAAACACAUGACAAUAAGAUAUCACAAUAACCAAAGUCAUGUCUCACAACCAAAGUAUCUCACACAAGUGCAAUGCAUAAAGGUAAACAUGAUGCAUGAUAAAGUAGCACACAUAACAAGUAUCUCAAAAGAAUAGACUCCUCACAAGAAGACUCCUAAAACCUCUCUAGCUCCCCCUAACUCCUAACUCUCAUACUACGAACUCUCUCCCCCUUUGGCAUCAAGCGCCAAAAACCUAAGAAGUCGGUGGAGGAGGUGGAGCAGUGGAGUCCCUCGGCACGGCCACGAAGCGAGCUGCAUCAUCUGAACUGUCGGCCGUCGAGGUAGAGGAGGUGGAGUGACCCUCUGAAGCUGCAGGUGCUGGAGAAGUGGUCCGGGUCUGCUCUGGCACUGUCACAGGCUGUGUUGGCUGCUCAAGUCCAGCGGACGAAGCUGGCACGGACUCGGUCGCUGUAGCUGUCGUCUCUGGAACGGUAGUAGACGGUGCAAGCUGCUCGGACGACGCUACGGACGACGACAGAAGCUCUGUAGUGGUAACUGGCACCGUAAAGACUGCAGGAGCCUGCAGAGGAGAAGGCGUAGGGUCACCAGUCAGAGCACUGUAGGUGAAGCUGAGGUGCGGAUCUGUCUGUGAGUCCCACACAAGCUACGACGCUGAAGCUGACUGAGGGGUGAAGCCUGAGCGGAGAGGGGUAAACUGCGGUACCUGCUCAAAGCCUGAAGAGAUAGCACCCUGAGAGACCUGGUGCUGUGGCGUCGAAAACGGCUGACUCUGAGCUGGUAGCUGGAGCGGCUGCUGAGACGGGCUCUGAGUCUGAGGCACUGGAGUAGGUGGCCUGACAGUCGACGUGCCUGGGAGCUGGAUCUGCGGUAGCUGAAUCCCUGAGGCGGCCAUGAGAGCGGCCAUCAUCGCUGUCUGCUGGGCCUGGAAAGCAAGCUGCUGCUCCUGAAAAGUGAGAAGCUGACGCUGGAGCUCAUCCUGCCUGGCCUGCAUGGCUGCAUUGAUGGCAGCCUGAUCCCUGUCUCGCCUCGCCUGCUCCUCAGCUGCACGGCGCUGAUCUGCCCUCAUCCCCUCUAAGAUAGCAAGCAGGGCGGGGUCUGAAGUACUCGAAGAGCCGCCUGACUCGUGGUCGUGUGCUCUGGGAGGGAGAUCAGUCACUGGCGGCUGAUAGUCGUCAUCUGAGCUGUCUGAGGCGAAGUCGAACUCGCCUUGUGCCUCUGCAUCGGCGAACGCCCCGAUAGCUACGUCGUGCUGCUCCUCUGUCUCUGCAACAGCUGCUGUACUGCGGGUGCUCCUAGGAGAAGGUGGGGGCACCGGUCCACGUGGAGCAUGAGGAGGAGGGGCACCGCAAAGGUCGUGGUGCGCUCUCAACAUCUGCCGGGGGUCGUAGUGGGGGAAGACGGUGUCGGACUCUGUCAACUCCCUCUGCAAGUGAGCUGGCAGGGGCAGUGGCCUAGCACGAAGUAUAAGCAGGGUGAUCCAAUGUGCGUAGGGCAAUUGACGCCGGCCCCUGAAGCUCUCUGAGAUGGUGUCCUCUAUCUCUGAGACAAUCAGAUCCCACAAGUCAAACUCUGUCUGGGAGAUAAGGUGAGCGACGAGCCACUGCUGCAUACGAGUGAAUCCGUCUCAGUAGCCUGUCCUGGGGAGAAGAGUCUUCCUCAACAUAAAGUCAAGAAUCCUGGCUGGGCGAGUCAAAUCUGCCACUGUCCUGCUGGAGCCCUCCCCAAAAGGUGCACGGAAGCAUGGAGCAACGAAGUCAACCGGUGGUAUCUCACCACCGUGAGGACGACGAGGGGGAUCCACGUUCCCGUAGCACAGCUGGUGAAUCCUGGUGGGAGAGGCUCGUAGUCCAAGCACCUGUCUGGCUGACUGUGCUGUCACUCUGUAGUCGGUCCCUGCCAGUGCGUAGUGGAUAUAACUGUGAUCUGGAGAAAUCCACACUGACGCAUAGAACUCUCUGACCCACUGCUCACAAUAAGUACCGGGGAGCGCUAGCAGCUCUGGGAGUCCGUGGAGGUAAGUGAAAUACUGCCGAAUAUCUGCCCCGACCACAUUCCCGAGAAUCUCUAGGUCAAUCACCCUGUGCUCCCUGAACUGUGACUGAGAACGAACUAGUGCCUCGUGGAUGUCCUCCUGGACGACUGUGUAGAAGCGGGCACCGGCUCUGGGAUCCCUGGCAGCUGGAAACCAGGUCGGAAACGGAACGAAACGCAGCUGCUGGAUCUCUCUGGCUGACACAAGAGUAAAAUCCCGGUGGAUCAUGACUGGCCUCUGGCGGGAAGCUAGAGUGCCUCUAGCCGGAGUGGCACGAGCUGUGGAAGUGGACUGACUCGGUGUGCCGGUCCGAGGAACGGCCUGGGUGCGAGCACGAGUCGACCUCCUGAGUGGCUGCUCCUGCUCCUGUGCUGGACCCUCUGCCUGGGUCUCUGUCUCAGUGUCUGGAUCCUCCUGAGCUGGAUCCCUGACCACAAGCCUAACCCUCUGUCCUCCAAUCGUCACGGUGCCUGGAGGGGAUCCAUGAAAAGCCUCUGCCUCAAGCACUGCACGCCUCUGACGUGGCGUAAGAUCAUCACCGAUCCUCAGAGAACCAGAGCGACCACCCCUCUCGGCUGCCUCAGCCGCUGCUGCAACUGCCUCUGCGACCUCUGCAUCUCUGUCACUGGCCUUCUGCUUCUUUGUGGCCAGCUUCUUGCCUUUUCCCUUCUCUGCCGCUGACAGGUGCCGGGGAGGAUCACCUCCACCAUCUCCUCCUGGAGAACCUCCUGAGCCAGCUGUCGGACCGCUAACAUUCUUGCAACGAGCCAUAGCAAAACAAACGUCCGACAAACAACUGACUGGCAAUGGAGAACAAUGCACUGCAGAGAAUGGACAGGAUAGGGUCUAAAAAAGAAGAUACAUCGACUAGAGAUGAGAUAAACCUAUGGAUAGCAAGAAAAGAUAAGACACGGGCACAAACGGCUUACGAUCGACUGACGAGACGCGUUCCGGAUUAAAAGGUCGCGAUCGGAAACCUCCGGAGACCACGAAUCUUCUCCUAGACGUGCUGCAACGAGAAGACCAUCGAGAUUGGAAUCAAAUCCUAAAUCGAAAGUCAUGGACACAAAAGCUCGAGCACCUUGGGAGAUAGAGCAGAGAACUUACCCCAAGCCCUAAUUUCUUCGCAAGGAAGGAAACCAGAGCGAGGAGAGGGAAGGGAAGAAGUCCCUUAGCAGAUCUGGCGCGGGGGAAAGCUCCAAACUCGUCGGAAAACGGCGCAAGGACGACGGCGGCGGCGCUAGGGCACGGGCGCGGCCAGAGAUUUUGAGGAGGAAGAAGAAAAACCGCCCACGAAACCCUCUGGGCGCGGGCUUUAUCCGCCCGCCGCGGGGUCACCGGACGCUCUUUAUGUUGCACCGGACGCGUCCGGUGACCACCGGACUCAUGCGCAGAGAGGUUUGCAUUUUGGUUUUGCACCGGACGAUGGGCACCGGACGCUGGCUUUAGCGUCCGGUGCUUCAGGUCACACCAGGUGAGCACCGGACGCACCGCACCGGACGCAACAGGGAUACUGUUCCUGCGUCCGGUGAGUACAGUCUGGCGCAUUCACCGCACCGGACGCUCAGAGGCAGCGUCCGGUGCAUCGUCCGGUGCUCCUCUGAGCACUUUUCCAACUAAGCACCACGUCCGACUUUGACCCAACCAAGUUCCUUCUUCAAAAGCACACAAGGAAACACAAAAUGGAACUGGUAUGAGUGACCUCUCUCAAACCCUCAAAUUUUCACAAAUAUUUAGCCAUAGGCUUAGUAGUUUUUAUGAAGGUAGUUCGAGAAAAAUCACCAAGGAGCAUCGUACGGCCAUAAAGCUAGGGGUUUGAAACAUAAUGAGCUUGGAAUGCUCCCCCUAUCUAUGGACGAACACAGCGGAUGCUCAACGAAUAACCGAAAAGAAACGAUGAACUAACAAGCAUGCACAUGAUAUGAGUUGUAAUGCAAUACUUGAGAGAAAACUAAUGCUUGUCAGAUUUGAUCCAAGGUUAAGCUUUUUCACACACACAAGGGGGUUAUCUUAACCAUGUUAGACAAACCCAACAUGCAAGUUAUGUUUUUAGUUUUAACAUGCAUGAUAUGCAAAGCAAAAGUUAUUUACAAGAUUCAACACACAACUUUUAUCUUUUAGUGAAGUUGGAUAGGUCAAGCACAUUAAGUUCAUUUCUCAACAUACAAAACCUAGCUUCAUCUAGGGGUUUUGUGAAGAUAUCCGCCAAUUGAUUUUCCGUUCCCACAUUCUCUAGGGAUAUGUCACCUUUAGCAACAUGAUCCCUAAGGAAGUGGUGACGAAUGUCAAUAUGUUUUGUGCGGGUGUGUUGAACCGGGUUGUUUGCAAGUUUUACGGCACUUUCGUUGUCACACAACAAAGGUACUUUGUCUAGUACUACUCCAUAGUCUAGCAAAGUUUGUUUCAUGUACAGUAUUUGUGCACAACAAGCACCGGCGGCUAUGUAUUCCGCCUCGGCCGUUGAUAAAGCAACACUAUUUUGUUUCUUUGACAUCCAAGAGACAAGAGAUCUACCUAGGAAGUGGCACCCUCCGGAUGUGCUUUUUCUAUCAAUCCGGCACCCGGCAUAAUCCGAGUCGGAAUAGCCUACAAGUUGGAAUCUUGCACCUUUGGGAUACCACAAGCCUAGGCAAGGUGUGUAUUUUAGAUACCUAAGAAUUCUCUUGACCGCAAUCAAGUGAGAUUCCAUAGGCAUUGCUUGAUAUCUUGCACACAUACACACACUAAACAUUAUGUCGGGCCUAGAUGCGGUGAGGUAGAGUAGACUUCCUAUCAUGGAGCGAUAGAGAGUCUUGUCAAUAGGGUUACCUCCCUCAUCCAAGUCGAGAUGCCCAUUUGAUGCCAUGGGAGUCUUGAUUGGCUUGCAAUCCAUCAUCUUAAACCUCUUGAGAAGAUCUUGAGUGUACUUCUCUUGAGAGAUGAAGACCCCUUCCUUCAUUUGUUUGACUUGAAAUCCUAGGAAGAAGGAUAGCUCGCCAAUCAUGGACAUCUCAAACUCCUUGGACAUCAAAUCACCAAAUUCCUUGCAAAAAUCUUCAUUAGUAGAGCCAAAAAUAAUAUCAUCAACAUAAACUUGGCAAAUGAAGAUUUCCCCAUUCAUUUUCUUGGUGAAGAGUGUUGUGUCAACUUUCCCAAUCUUGAAGCCCUUCUCAAUGAGGAAGUCCCUAAGCCUCUCAUACCAAGCUCUAGGAGCUUGCUUGAGACCAUAGAGAGCCUUGGACAACCGGUAGACAUGCUUGGGGUACCUAGGGUCUUCAAAACCGGGGGGUUGCUCAACAUAGACAAGCUCAUUAAUAUAACCAUUUAAAAAGGCACUUUUCACAUCCAUUUGAAAUAAUUUGAUAUCAUGACUUGAUGCAUAUGCAAGUAGGAUACGGAUUGCUUCAAGUCUUGCCACCGGUGCAAAGGUUUCACCGAAGUCAAGACCUUCCACUUGUGAAAAGCCUUUUGCCACAAGUCUUGCCUUGUUGCGCACCACUUUGCCUUGAUCAUCCUUCUUGUUCCGGAAGACCCAUUUUGUUCCAAUCACUCUUGCAUCUUUGGGUCGCUCUUCAAGUGUCCAAACUUGAUUGCGAGAGAAGUUGUUCAACUCCUCUUGCAUGGCCAUGAUCCAAUCCGCAUCACGAAGAGCUUCCUCUAUAGUCUUUGGUUCAUCUUCAAGAGACACAAAAGCGUGAUGUUCAAUAAAUAAAGCAUGUCUAGAACGAGUAGUUACACCACGUGAUGGACUCCCGAUGAUGAGAUCUUGAGAGUGAUCUUGGAGGAGAUGUGAUGUUCUUCUUGGUGCCACUUGAGGGGUUGGUUGGGGAGCAUCAACAUCUUGUGCUUGUGCCACUGUUUGCUCAUGAGUGACUUGGGUGUCUUCAUGAGCAUCUCUCACAUCCUUGUCUUCAUCUUGUGGACCUUGUGAGGUGGAUGGUGGCUCAAUGACUUGCACAUCAUCAUCAUCUUCUUUAGGCUUGAUGUCUCCCACCGGCAUGUUCUUCAUGGCAUCCCUCAAUGGUUCACCACCUACAUCAUCAAGAUUAUCACUAGCUCUUUGGGAGCCAUUAGUUUCAUCAAAUUCAACAUCAAAUGUUUCUUCAACCAUGUUUGUGGCAUGGUUAAAGACCCUAUAUGCCUUGGACUUUGAUGAAUAGCCAACCAAGUAGCCAAUGUCACAUCUUCUUUGGAACUUUCCCAAAUGUUGGCGCUUCUUGUAGAUGUAGCACUUGCACCCAAACACUCUAAAGAAUGAGACAUCAGGCUUCUUCCCAUUGAGCAACUCAUAUGGUGUCUUCUCUAGGAACUUGUGUGGAAAGAGCCGGUUUGAAGCAUAGCAUGCCGUGUUGAUUGCCUCAGCCCACAUCUUCUCCGAAGUGUUAUACUCAUCUAGCAUUGUUCUUGCCAAGGUAAUCAAAGUCCGGUUCUUUCUUUCUACAACCCCAUUUUGUUGUGGUGUGUAUGUUGAGGAGAACUCAUGCUUGAUUCCCACUUCAUCACAAUAUUCUUCAAUGUUGGUGUUGUCAAACUCUUUGCCAUUGUCACUUCUAAUUUUCUUGAUCUUCACAUCAAAUUGAUUUUGAGCAUUCUUUGCAAACUUCUCGAAUAUUGAUGCAACUUCGGCCUUGUCUUGCAAGAAGAAUGUCCAAGUGUACCGGGAGAAAUCAUCAACUAUGACCAAACAAUAUUUGUUGCCUCCAAGACUAGCAUAUGUGGUUGGUCCAAACAAAUCCAUGGAAGUAGCUCAAGCACUCUUGAAGUAGAGAGAUAGGCUUUGGUUGGAUGAGUGUUUGCAACUUGUUUGCCCGCUUGACAUGCACUACAAAGCUUGUCUUUUUCAAAUGUCACAUCCUUCAAGCCUCUAAUCAAUUCUUUCUUCAUCAACUUCUUGAGUGUGCCCAUUCCAACAUGUGCUAACCUUCUAUGCCACAACCACCCAAGUGAAGUCUUGGUGAAUAAGCAAGUCUUGACAUUAACUUCAUUGGAUGAGAAGUCAACCACAUAUAAGUUGUUGUGCCGGAAGCCUUUGAAUAUCACUUCAUUGUCAUCUUCCUUGGUCACAAUUACUUCCUUCUUCUUGAAUAGGCAUUCAAAUCCAAGGUCACAUAAUUGUCCAACCGAGAGCAAAUUGAAACUCAAAGAUUGCACAUAGAGCACAUUGGUGAUGGAGUUGUCAUUUGAUAUAGCAACCUUUCCUAGUCCCUUGACUUUCCCUUUUGAAUUGUCACCAAAUGUGAUCUUCUCUUGGUUGUCAACAUCUUCAUCAAGAAAGGUGAACAUCCGGGGAUCUCCGGUCAUAUGUUGAGUGCAACCACUAUCAAUUACCCAAUGUGAUCCACCGGUCUUGUAGUUCACCUACACACAAGAGAUCAAGCUUGAGAUUUAGGGACCCACAUUUGCUUAGGGCCCUUGACCUUCUCUACUAGUUGCUUUGGCACCCAAAUCUUCUUUGGCCUUUGCUUGUUUGGUGGCCCCAUGAAGCUAACCUUGACCUUGCCACACUUGUCUUUUCUUACAAUGUAAUGAGCAUUGAAGGCAACUGGUCUUGCAUGCUUGGGCAAGGGUGGUGGUAGUGGUGCCUUACACUCAUGAGCAAAGUGUCCUUCUUGACUACACUCAAAACAUCUUUUUGGCUUUGGCUUGCUUGCUUGAUCAUGAGUGACUAGAGACUUGAUGAGCUUUGUUUGAUGAGCCUUAUAGCCAAUCCCACUCUUGUCCAUCUUCAUGACGGUGUUCAUGAAAAGCUCACUUUGAAGGUCCUUCCCUUUUGUGAACUUUGCUAACCCCAAGGUUAGGUGUUCCUUCUCUUUCUUGAGCUUGUUGUUCUCUUGAGUUAGCUUCUUGAUGAUUGGGUCAUUGUUGCUAGCUAACUCAUCCAAGAUGAAUGUCUCAUCUUCUUCUUGCUUGUCAUACAUCAAACCAAGCUUGAGAUAUUGAUUUUCUUCUUUGAGUAACUUGUUCUCAUAUGCAAGUUUCUUGUCUUGAUCAAGUGACUCAAUUACAAUGGUGUUGUGCUUGGAUUGGUCUUGCAACUCUUUCUUGAGCAUGACAAUUUCAUCCUUGAGCUUGAUAGUGUCCUCAUAACUCUCGGCCACUACCACUUUCUUGCCCUUGCAAUCAACACAUUUGCUUGUGCUCUCCACAAGUCAUCACAAGAUGUGGCUACAUCAAGCUUAGCAACAUUGUUAGUAGCAACAUGUGUUUCAUCAAUUGCAAGUUCAUAAGCAAUCUCAAGGUUGUCAUAGUUUGCUUUUAGAGUUGUUAGUUCUUCUUUCAUUGCUCUAUAUCUAGUGAUAAGCUCAUCAUGAACACUCUCAAGUUUAUCAUGUUUUUCUUUGAGCUCUUUUAGAGAGUUUGAGCUCCUUGAGCUUAGUGGUCAUGAUCUCCUUUUGUUCUCUAAGCUCAUCACUAGAGUUAAGCUUUGCUAGAAGUGUAUCAUUUUCAAGUUCAAGCUUUUCAUUUUCACUUCUAGUCUUUCUUAUGACUUUUGUGUAUUUGUUUAGCAAUUUUACAAGUUCAUCAUAAGAAGGUGAUUCAUAUUCACUAUCACUUUCACUACUCUCAUCCUCACUUUGUACCUUCCGGUCACCUUUGGCCAUAAGGCAUAGGUGUGUAGAGGAUGUAGAUGGUGGUGAAGAUGAUGGUGAUGGAGCAUCGAUGGCGAUAGCGGCAACCUUCUCAUCAUCACUUUCAUUGCCGGAGGAGUCACCACUUGAGCUUUCAAUGUCGGUGAGCCAAUCACCAACAAUAUAAGCCUUGCCAUUUUUCUUCUUGUAGUGCUCCUUCUUCUUGCCACCUUUCUUCUUGUAUUGCUUCUUGUCAUUUUUCUCAUCAUCACUUGAGUCAUCUUGCUCUUUGUUCUUCUUCUUGUACUUGUCCUUCUUGGGCUUUGGACAUUGAUGAGCAAGAUGACCAAGCUCACCACAAUUGUAGCAAUCCAUCUCGGAGAUGGGCUUCCUCUUGCUACUUGUGAAGAACUUCUUCUUCUUGGAGUCAAAGUUGACUCCAUUCUUGUUGAGCUUCUUCAACAUCUUGGUGGUUCUUCUCACCAAGAGGGCAAUAGAUGCAUCAUCAUCACUUGAAGUUGUUGACUCAACUUCAAUCUUCUUGGCUUUGCCCUUGUGAGAAGCUUUGAGAGCCAAGUCCUUCUUUUCUUUCUUGGCCGAUGAGGAGCCAUCUUGAGGGUUCAUGUGCAUGUACAUCUCAUGAGCAUUGAUCUUCCCCAAUAUGGUGGUUGGUGUAGCGGUGGAAAGAUCGCCUUGAUGAAGCACGGUUACUAUGUGCCCAUAUUUCUCAAUGGGAAGCACACAUAGUAUCUUCCUUGCAACAUCCGCCGUACUCAUUUGUGUAAGCCCAAGUCCAUUUAGCUCCUCUACAAUGACAUUCAAGCAAGAAUACAUUUCAUUAGCAUUUUCUUUAGGAAGCAUUUCAAAAGUAUUAAGCUUGUUCAUCACUAGGUGAUAGCGUUCCUCGCGUUCACUCUUAGUUCCCUCAUGGAGCGCACAAAGUUCAUUCCAAAGUUCAUUGGCGGUUUUGUGGCUCCGAACACGGUUGAACACUUCUUUGCAAAGACCUCUAAAAAUGUGGUUUUUGGCCUUUGCAUUCCACUUCUCGUUUUCUUGCUCUUGUGGAGUAAGAGCGGUGGCUCUUUCCAGAGGGGCAAACCCUUCGGUCGCGGCUUUUAGGCACUUUACAUCGCAUGCCUCAAGGUAUGACUCCAUCCGUAUUUUCCAAUACGGGAAGUCAUCCCCAUCGAACAUGGGUGGCGGUCCAUCCCCGUUAGACAUCUUUCUCUAGGCGGUGAAGCCUAAAUAAUGAGCACUAGGCUCCGUUACCAAUUGAAAGGAUCAAGAUGCCCAAGAGGGGGGGUGAAUUGGGCUUCUCUAAAAAUUUAAGCAACCUAUAAGCUUCAAUUCAACCUCUUGUGCCUAGUGUAACUUAGAGAGCUACCGGAUAAAAAGUUUUGCAACCUAGUUCCAAUCCUAUUCUAGCAUGGCAAUUCUAAGAAUGUAAAAACACAAAGUAAAUACUAGAAAGUAAAGGAGUAGUGGAAGAAAUUGCUCGGCGAUGUUUUGCCGAGGUAUCGGAGAGUCGCCACUCUCCACUAGUCCUCGUUGGAUCACCCGCGCAAGGGUCUUCCUCCCCCUUGGUCCGCGCAAGGACCAAGUGCUCUCUAGGGGCUGAUUCUUCGACACUCCGUCGCGGUGAAUCGCCCAAAAACCGCUCACAAGCUUGACACGAGCCACCCACAAGAACUCCGGGUGAUCUUCGUGCCUCCAAUCACCACCGAACCGUCUAGGUGAUGGCGAUCACCAAGAGUGACAAGCAAAGAACUCUCACUUGACCCAAACAAGGCACUAGAGAGUGAUGGAUGCACACUUGACUCUUGGAACUCACUAGAGGAGGAUUCUCUCAAGAAUUCACUCAAAAACCAAUCCUCUCUAGGCUCUUUGCAACUCUCUUGCUCCACAACAAGUUUCUCUGAUGUUCAAAUGGGCAAGAGAGGUCUCAUGGACGAGGUGGAGAAGUAUAAAUACUAUCCACGAAGUCCAAAGGUCGGCCAACCGUUUUCCACUAAAAAACGGGGUCACCGGACGCACGUUAUGUUGCACCGGACGCACUGCACCGAGCGUCCGGUGUGACAUAACGGCUACCUGCGCUUUUCUCUGACAGGUCACCGGACGCUAACUCUCAGCGUCCGGUGCACCGUCCGGUGCUCGGGGAAACCUUACAUGCUCCCUGCGCAUGGGACCGGACGCUACCCGGCGCGUCCGGUGCUAGCGUCCGGUGCUCAGGGGAACUUUGCAAGCUCCCUGGGUAAGGGACCGGACGCUGCCCGGUGCGUCCGGUGCCAGCGUCCGGUGCCUAGCCCUAAGCACCAAACUGUUCCAACAGCUAAGGACCUCACCGGACGCACUAACAGAGCGUCCGGUGCAGCGUCCGGUGCCCCUUUGGGCACCCAAACUUCGUCGAAACGCGAUCGCUCCAACACGAAGUUUGUUCCUCUCGAUCUAAGGACUAUCUCUGAGCUGCCUAGUUCUAGGUUUACCAAGUGUGCACCACACCUAAACCUAAAGCCUUGCCUAAGUCAAGCUACUAGAUCAAAGCCCCUCUUAAUAGUACGGUCAAAGGAAAAACAAGGUCCUAAACUACUCUAAGCGCCCUUCUUCACCAUAUGGCACUUAGACCUAGUCUAGUCUUGACGAUGUCCAUCCAUCCUUUGAAAACCAAAACGAUUUCCACUAUUAAGUAGGCAUGUACGUCCCUGUCCAUCGAGUAUUUAUAUACCAUGACCUUACCUAUGACUUUGCCUCUGCAAAACACACGUUAGUCAUAGUAAUCAAUAAUGUCAUUAAUCACCGAAAUCACUAGGGGCCUAGAUGCUCUUUCACAUACAUCCUCCAAGAAAAGUUCUCAAGCUUCAAGAUGCAAGAAGAUGAAAGUGUGCCGGAGAUGUUUCACCGGUUGCAAGUCAUUGUGAAUGAACUCAAGGCACUUGGGGAAGAACUAAAAGAUAGUCAAUUCUCUAUGAAGUUCUUGAGAAGCUUGCCCAAGAGAUUUGACACAUUGAUCACCGUGCUAGUCAAGACAACUCUUAGUGAAUCAACUCCCCAACAAGUCUUUCAAGAGGUGAUGACGGAUGAUGCAUAUAGAGAAGAUGAUGAGAAGGAUGAGUUGAUCAAGAAGAAGAAGAAGGAUGGUGAGAAGAAAGAUGAUGAGAAGAAGAAAAGUGUGGCAUUCAAGGCCUCCACAUCCAAGGGCAAAGCCAAGCAAGAAUCAUCAAGUGAAGAAGAAGCAAGAUCUUGUGAUAGUGAUGAAGAUGAGGAGAUGGCUCUUCUUGUCAAGAGAUUUGGCAAGUUCAUGAAGAAGAAAGGCUAUCAGGCAAGAAGGAAGAAGAGCUCCUCAAAGAAGAAUGAUCAUUCCAUGAGGUGUUUUAGAUGCCAUAGCAAGGAUCAUCUCAUUGCUAAAUGUCCUUAUGAUAGUGAUGAUGAAGAUGCUAUCAAGAAGGAAAGAAAGAAGCAAAAGAAGAAGCAAGAAAAGAAGGAAGGCUCAAACAAGAAGAAGGGUGAUGCCCAUGUUGCAACUUGGGAUAGUGAUGACUCCUCAAGUGAUGAUGAGAGCACCAAGAAGAAGGCGCAUGCUAGCAUUGCAAUUCAAGGAAAGAGCUCCAUCUUCGACACUCCAUCAUGCUUCAUGGCUAAGGCCACUAAUGUAUCAUCCGAUGAUGAGAGUGACCAUGCUAGUGAUAGUGAUAGUGAUAGUGAUGAUGAUGAACCAACUAAAGAUGAACUAAUCACUAUGCUAGAAGAUUGCACUCAUCACUAUAAAGAAACUAGAAAGGAGUGCAAGGCUUUGCUUAAGGAUAAGAAAACCCUUGAGCAAGAACUUGAUGAGCUUAGAGCAUCCUAUGAGAGUCUAAAGGAAGACCAUAAGAAGCUUCAAAAGGCUCACACUAAGCUUGAAGAAGCUCAUUCCUCUCUAGUUAACAAAUGUAAAAAUGAGCCAACUAAAAUUGAAAAAGCUAAAACUUGCAACAUAGGCCUAACAUGUGAUAUCUUAAGUAAGCCUAUUGUUGUUGCUUCUACUAACCCUUCAUGUAGCACAUCUACAUCAUCCUCAUCUAGUGGUGAUGGUUUCACUUGUGACACCACACUAAAAGUUGAGAAUGAAAUUCUCAAGAAGGAGGUGAAAGAGCUCAAUCACACCUUAGCCAAGGCUUAUGGUGGUGAGGACCGCUUGCUUAUGUGCUUGGGUAGCCAAAGAGCUUCUCUCUACAAAGAGGGAUUAGGCUUUAACCCCAAGAAAGGCAAGGCCGCCUUUGCUCCUCACAAGACUAGUUUUGUGAAGAACAAUGGCCGGUAUUGCAAAGCUUGCAAGCAAGUUGGUCACUUAGAGCAACAAUGCAUGAACAAGAAACCCAAAGCACAUGUAUCCUCAAUUAAGCUAAAUUCUUUCUAUGUGCUUACCAAGGAUACAAAAGGUGUUCAUGCUAAGUUCAUUGGUGCACCGUGGAUGGGCUCAAAGAAGAAAGCCAUAUGGGUACCUAAGAGCUUAGUUGCUAACAUUGGAGGACCCAAUCAAGUUUGGGUACCUAAAAAGAAUUGAUCUUGUCUUGUAGGUCAAUUACAAAGCCGGAGGAAGGCAUUGGGUGCUUGAUAGUGGGUGCACUCAAGACAUGACCGGGGAGUCUUGUAUGUUCAAAUCAAUUGACACAAAUCAAAAUGGUGGCUUUGAUUCUAUCACUUUCGGCAACAACAAGAAAGGCAAGGUCAAAGGGCUUGGUAAAAUUGCUAUCUCAAAUGACAUGAGCAUAUCAAAUGUGUUGCUAGUUGAGAGCCUUGAUUUCAAUCUCUUGUCAAUUGCACAACUUUGCGACCUUGGUUUCAAGUGCAUCUUUGGUAGUGAUGAUGUUGAGGUGGUUAGUGUUGAUGGAUCAAACUUCAUAUUCAAAGGAGUUAGGCAUGGUAGCUUAUACUUGGUUGAUUUCAAUGAUAGUGACACUCAAUUGACAUCAUGCCUAAUUAGCAAAUCAAGUUUGGGUUGGUUGUGGCAUAGAAGGCUUGGUCAUGUUGGAAUGAAACAAUGGAACAAACUAUUGAGGCAUGACUUAGUUAGAGGCUUGAAGGAUGUCACCUUUGAGAAGGAUAAACCAUGUAGUGCUUGUCAAGCCGGAAAGCAAGUUGGAAAUGCACAUCCUAAGAAAAGUGAAAUGAGCACAUCAAAGGCAUUUGAGCUAUUGCAUAUGGAUUUAUUUGGGCCAACAACAUACACUAGCAUUGGUGGCAACAAGUAUGGAUUUGUAAUAGUAGAUGACUACACUAGAUACACUUGGGUGUUCUUCCUUUAUGACAAGAGUGAUGUUUGUGAUCUAUUCAAGUCUUUUGUCAAGAGGGUGCAAAAUGAGUUUGAAACCACUAUCAAGAAGAUUAGAAGUGAUAAUGGUAGUGAAUUCAAGAACACAAGAAUUGAGGAAUUAUGUGAUGAUCUUGGCAUUGGACAUCAAUUCUCUCCAACAUACACUCCUCAAUCCAAUGGUGUAGUUGAAAGGAAGAAUAGAACCUUGAUUGAUAUGGCUAGAUCAAUGCUUAGUGAAUACAAUGUUAGCCAUUCAUUUUGGAGUGAAGCUAUCAACACGGCUUGCUAUUGUAGCAACCGUCUCUAUUGCCAUGGGAAGCUUGGGAAGACACCAUAUGAGCUAUUGAAUGGAAGAAAGCCUAACAUUGCAUACUUUAGAGUGUUUGGUUGCAAAUGCUACAUUCUCAAGAAAGGCAUUAGAUUGAGCAAGUUUGAGAAGAAAUGUUUUGAAGGGUUCUUACUUGGUUAUUCCACCACAAGCAAGGCAUAUAGAGUUUGGAACUUGGCAAGUGGCACAUUGGAAGAAGUCCAUGAUGUUGAAUUUGAUGAAACCGAGGGAUCUCAAAAUGAAGCUCAAAAUCUUGAUGAUGUGAGGGGAGAUCAAUUGGCAAAUGCAAUGAAGAACAUAGAUGUAGGUGACAUAAGGCCAAGGCAAGUUGAUGAUGAUAAUGACAUACACAUGAUCAAUCAAGAAGUGCAAAUUGAUACAAAUCAAGCAAGUACUAGUGGCUCUCAUGAUGAUGAUCAAAAUCAAAGACAAGCUAGUGGAAGUAAUCAACUCCCAAUACUCCAACCUACAAGCAUAGCAAGGGAUCAUCCAUUGGAUCAAGUUAUUGGUGGUAUUCAAAGUGGUGUGCAAACAAGAUCAAGGCUAGCAUCCUUUUGUGAGCACUACUCAUUUGUCUCAUUUGAGGAACUAAAGAAAAUAGAAGAUGCAUUGAAGGAUUCUGAUUGGGUAAAUGCCAUGCAUGAAGAAUUGGACAACUUCACAAGAAAUCAAGUGUGGGAGCUUGUUGAGAGGCCAAAGAACUACAAUGUGAUUGGCACCAAGUGGGUCUUUAGAAACAAGCAAGAUCAAGAUGGUGUAGUUGUGAGAAACAAAGCAAGAUUAGUAGCACAAGGCUACACUCAAGUUGAAGGUCUUGACUUUGGAGAAACAUAUGCACCGGUUGCAAGAUUGGAGGCAAUUAGAAUAUUAUUAGCCUAUGCUUGUGCCCACAACAUCAAGCUCUAUCAAAUGGAUGUGAAGAGUGCAUUUCUCAAUAGAUACAUAAAUGAGUUGGUUUAUGUUGAACAACCUCCCGGUUUUGAAGAUGACAAGAAACCCAACCAUGUUUACAAGCUCAAGAAGGCAUUGUAUGGUUUGAAGCAAGCACCUAGAGCAUGGUAUGAGAGAUUGAGAGAUUUUCUUCUCUCUAAAGGGUUCAAGAUGGAAAAGGUUUACACUACCCUCUUCACCAAGAAGCUAGGCAAUGACUUGUUUGUGUUGCAAAUCUAUGUUGAUGAUAUCAUUUUUGGAUCAACCAAUCAAGACUUUUGUGAAGAGUUUGGAAGAAUGAUGGCAAAUGAGUUUGAAAUGUCAAUGAUUGGAGAGCUUAGUUACUUCCUUAGACUUCAAAUCAAGCAAAUGAAGGAUGGCACUUUUGUAAGUCAAGGCAAGUACAUCAAGGACAUGAUCAAGAAAUUUGGGUUGCAAGAAGCUAAACCAAUGAGCACACCUAUGGGCACAAAUGAUCAAUUGGGUAGUGAUGCUAGUGGCAACAUGGUAGAUCAAAAGCUAUACCGGUCCAUGAUUGGAAGUUUGCUCUAUGUCACCGCAUCAAGGCCAGAUGUAAUGUUUAGUGUGUGCAAGUGUGCAAGAUACCAAGCUUCACCUAGAGAGAGUCACUUGAAGGCAACCAAGAGGAUAUUGAGGUAUCUUAAAGGCACUCAUGAUGUUGGAUUAUGGUAUCCCAAGGGGUCUAUCUUUGAAUUGAUUGGAUAUUCGGACUCCGACUAUGGUGGAUGCAAGAUUGAUAGAAUGAGCACAAGUGGCACUUGUCAAUUGCUAGGAAGGUCUCUAGUUUCAUGGUCAUCAAAGAAACAAAAUAGUGUUGCACUAUCAACCGCCGAGGCCGAAUACAUUAGUGCCGGUAGUUGUUGUGCACAAUUGCUUUGGAUGAAAGCUACCUUGAAUGACUUUGGAAUCAAAUUCAAGAAUGUGCCUUUGCUAUGUGACAAUGAGAGUGCAAUCAAGAUGACACAAAAUCCGGUUCAACAUUCAAGAACCAAGCACAUUGACAUAAGGCAUCACUUCAUAAGAGAUCAUCAACAAAAGGGUGAUAUUAGCAUUGAAAGCAUUGGCACCGAAGAUCAACUAGCCGACAUAUUCACAAAGCCACUUGAUGAGAAGAGAUUUUGCAAGUUGAGAAAUGAACUGAACAUACUUGACUUCUCCAACUUGAGAUGAGUGCACCCCCACAUUUUUAUAUGGCAUGCCUCUCCUCCAACAAAGCAAGGUAAAGAUGGUUGACAUAGCAUUCAUACUUUGCUAAGGACAUGAUUAGAACAUAUAAACAUGUUUGCAUGACAAAUAGGCUCAUUCAUGAAAAUCAAAAGAUUUUGAUGUAUGUAUGGUACCACUAUUGCUCCUAUGUUUGAUCGAUCUAGUGGUAGCAUAUGACAUGUUUGUGAGCUUGUAAGCCUAGUGUUGAAUCUAGAAUAUGAGCUUAUGAUGUGUAAUUCAACAUGGUCAAGAUAACCCUUAUACUUUAUGAGGUGUGAAAAAGCUUGUCCUUGGAUCAAACCGAAUUACAUGUUUUAGGCAAGUGAUCUAGAUUGAACCAUAAUUUGACCCUCACAUUGAUUGACUUAAUUCUCACUAAAAUUUGAACCUUUGUGGUCAUUGAUGACAAAGGGGGAGAGAAACAAAGAUAAAGUCAUAAAGGGGAGAAAAGUGCUUAAGGGGGAGAGAUAACUUUUGGAAAAUUAAAUUAAAACUUGAGCACACAAAUAGGGGGAGUAAGCUCAUGAACCAUUUGUUGCAUUUGAAUGUGCACUAACAUAAUGAGGUGUUGCAUUGCAAGUAUAAAUAUACUACUCUUGUUUGAUUGGUGCUUGCUAGAAAUAGAACUUAAAUGAUGCUUUGAAUUCUAGCAUAGAGUUUUAUUUUGAUGUGGUAUCUAGACAUAUAAUGUGAUCUCACGAGGUAUCUUGAGUUUUUGAUGUAUGUCUAGCUACAUUGGUGCUAAGGAUGGUAUAUUGUCAACUCCGAUUGGUAUCACACUUCAAAGGUCCAUUCUAUAUACCAUGGCAUCAUGUUGGUAGUAAUAAUUCUCCCAAAAUUCCAAUUCUUGCAUAUGUGCAAACUUGAACCAAACUCAUGGAAGCACAUAUGUAGGGGGAGCUAGUACUAUCAAAACUGAAAUUGAAAUGUUUGUCCAACCUUGUCUCAUGAUUAAGAUGCUUUGGACAAGCAAUUCAAGUUAUUAUGAUUUCAUUUCAUAUCUUUGUGAUGGUUGUCAUCAAUUACCAAAAAGGGGGAGAUUGAAAGCCCAAGUUUGGUUUUGGUAAUUAAUGACACCAAGUUGCUAAUGCCUAGUAUUUAAGUGAUUUUAGUUAGGCAUAGCAACACACGUGAUGAAGGUGCAUGGUGGCAUGGAAAGGUGGCCACAUGAUCACAAAGGGAUGAAGCAUGAAGUGAAGAUCAUGGUGAUAGACGAGGAGCAAAGUUAUCAAGGCAAAGGUAUAAACAUAGGGUUUUACUUUUGCCGGUCUAAGAUGAGUAGAGAAGUGAUUGACCGGGUUUAGGAUAGAUAGCCGACUAUCAAGAGGGGAAAUCACGGUCAUCUCUCGAAUCAAGUGCUACUAGGUCUACAUCUUGAGCAUAUGCAUGAGGAUCUAGUAAAGUGCUAACUUAACUCCUUUGGGUAAAAAUGUUUGUGAAAAGCUAACACACAUGCACUUUGGUGGUGGACAUUCGCAAGCUCGGCAGGAUUCGGCGCUUUUGAGAAAAAUAAGUGUAUAUUUUCUAUUGCGCCGGUGGGAUCUAUGGAGAAGUCGCAGGUGUGUUUUCUCACUAAGAAACACUCACCGGACGCUGAGUGCGGAGGCACCGGACGCUGGCCUCAGAGUCCAGUGUGCUUGACCCUGCUAGGGUUGAGCACCGGACGCACUCUGUGAGCGUCCGGUGGUUAGCGUCUGGUGCGCGGGCGUUUUGCGACCCACUAUGCGCAUGGGUCCGGUGAGCACCGGACGCUACCGGUGCUUAGCGUCCGGUGACCCGCAGGUUUGCGGAACUCUCUGCGCAUGAGUCUGGUGUGCACCAGACGCGUCUGGUGUGGACAUGCAGAGCGUCCGAUGAUCCACAGGUGACUAUUAGGAUCUGACACGUGAGAUUCAGGACGGACACGUGGCCAACUCCAGUGCACCGGACGCAGGGAGUCGAGCGUCCGGUGCUCACUUAGUAGCGUCCGGUGCCCCCGAUUUCUGCCCAGUGAAAGUGGCCAACGGCUAGUUCUUUGAGGGGGCUUAUAAAUAGUUGGUGGCCGGCUUUGGGAGAUUCUCUCUUGCACAUUUGAUUACUUGAGGCAUACAUUGAGCUAGAGAUCACAAUUGGCUACUCUAGUGGAUUGCUCGUGGCUUGGAGAAUCCCCAUCUUGUGAGUGGAUGUGCGGCACCCGCUGAGGGUUUGGCUUUGGAUUGCCAAUUAGCUCGUGAUCCAUCAAGUGGGUGUAUCGCCACAACGAGGACUAGCUUGUCGGGAAGCAAGUGAACAUCGGUAAAUAUCUUGUGUCAUCCCUUGCCGAGGAUUCUCUUGUGAUUGUGAGUGAUUGGUUCGAUAUAUCUCUACUCUACAACGUUGGUAUAACAAUCACUCUCCACUCCUUUACUCACUUGUUUAGGAGUGUAGCUAGCUUUCUUAGUUGUUGUGUUUUAGUGUUUAGCCUUGUACUAGUUUCUAUUGGUGGCUUGCAUAGCUUAGUUGAGCUAGUGCUAGUUUUGCUUCGCCAUUUGUUUUACUAACUCACUUGCUUAGUGAAGUUUGUAGAAAUUUUAAAUAGGCUAUUCACCCCCUCUAGCCAUUUGGACCUUUCAACACGUCAUCAAGGAGUUCCAUCGGGUGCAUCCAAAUUGAUUUCCAAGCAUAUGGUAUGUUCCAUGCAAACCGUGCACCUAUCUUGCAUCAAGAUUAGCACUAUCUCCAAACAGACUGAACCGAGCAUCCACUUGAGCCCCUUCACCUAGGAGUACCAACAAGUGUGUCCAAAAUGGUUUCUUAGACUAUGGUGCAUUAGGUGCAAACUGUGCACCUAUCUUGCAUCAAGAUUAGCACUAUCUCCAAACAAACCAAACUGAGCUUUCACUUGAGCACCUUGACCUAGUAGUACCAUCGGGUGCAUCCAAAAUGGUUUCUUAUCUUAUGGUGCAUUAGGUGCAAACCAUGCACCUAUCUUGCACCGAAACUAACACUGUCUCCAAACGGACCGAAGUGGGAUUCCAUAUGACACAUGUCAUCUAGGAGUUCCAUCUAUUGCGUAUAAAUUGAUUUCUGAGCAUAUGGUAUGUUCCAUGCAGACCGUGCAUCUAUCUUGCAUCAAGAUUAGCACUAUCUCCAAAUAGACCAAACCGAGCUUUCACUUGAGCCUUUUACCUAGGAGUACCAUCGGGUGCGUCCAAAAUGGUUUCUUAGCCUAUGCUGCAUUAUGUGCAAACUUUGCACCUAUCUUGCACCGAAACUAACACUGUCUCCAAGCAUACCCAAGCAAGAUUUUGUAUGACACACGUCAUCUAGGAGUUCCAUCAUGUGCGUCCAGAUUGAUUUCCAAGCAUUGGGUAUGUUCCAUGCAAACCGUGCACCUAUCUUGAAUCAAGAUUAGUACUAUCUCCAAACAGACCGAACCGAGCAUCCACUAGAGACCCUUCACCUAGGAGUGCCAACAAGUGCGUCGAAAAUGGUUUCUUAGGCUAUGGUGCAUUAGGUGGAAACUGUGCACCUAUCUUGCACCGAAACUAACAAUGUCUUCAAAUGGAUCGAAGCGAGAUUCCAUAUGAUACAUGUCAUCAAGGAGUUCCAUCGGGUGCAUCCAAAUUGAUUUCCAAGCGUAUGGUAUGUUCCAUGCAAACCGUGCACCAAUCUUGCAUCAAGAUUAGCACUAUCUCCAAACAAACCGAACCAAGCAUCCACUUGAGCCCCUUAACCUAGGAGUACCGACAAGUGUGUCCAAAAUGGUUUCUUAGACUAUGGUGCAUUAGGUGCAAACGGUGCAUAUCUUGCACCGAAACUAACAAUGUCUCCAAAUGACCGAAGCGAGAUUCCAUAUGAUACAUGUCAUCAAGGAGUUCCAUCGGGAGCAUCCAAAUUGAUUUCCAAGCAUAUGGUAUGUUCCAUACAAACCAUGCACCUACCUUGCAGAAGGAUCAGCACUAUCUCCAAACUGACCGAACUAAGCUUCCACUUGAGCCUCUUCAACUAGGAGUACCAAAUAGUGCGUCCAAAACGGUUUCUUAGACUAUGGUGCAUUAGGCGCAAACUGUGCACCUAUCUUGCACUAAAACUUACAAUGUCUAUAAAUGGACCGAAGCAAGAUUCCAUAUGACACGUCAUCUAGGAGUUCCAUUGGGUGCGUCCAAAUUGAUUUCUAAGCAUAUGGGAUGUUCCUUGCAAAUCAUGCACCUAUCUUGCAUCAAGAUUAGCACUGUCUCCAAAUAGAUCAAACUGAGCUUCCACUUGAGCCUCUUCACCGAAGUACCAACAGGUGCUUCCAAAAUGGUUUCUUAGACUAUGGUGCAUUAUGCGCAAACCAUGCACAUAUCUUGCACCGAAACUAACACUGUUUCUAAACAGACCAAAGUGAGAUUCCAUAUGACACACGUCAUCAAGGAGUUCCAUCGGGUACAUCCAAAUUGAUUUGCAAGCAUAUGGUAUGUUCCAUGCAAACCGUGCACCUAUCUUGCAUCAAGAUUAGCACUAUAUCCAAACAGACCGAAGCGAGCUUCCACUUGAGCCUCUUCAUCUAGGAGUACAAACAGGUGUGUCAAAAAUGGUUUCUUAGACUAUGUUGCGUUAGGCACAAACUAUGCACCUAUCUUGCACCGAAACUAACAUUGUCUCCAAACAGACCGAAGCGAGAUUCCAUAUGACACACGUCAUCUAGGAGUUCAAUUGGGUGCAUCCAAAUUGAUUUCUUAAAAUAUGGUACAUUGCAUUCAAACUGUGCAACUAUCUUGCAUCAAGAUUAGCACUAUAUCCGAACAGACCAAAUCGAGCCUCCACUUGAGCCUCUUCAACUACGAGUACCAUCAGGUGCGACUAAAAUGGUUUCUUAGCCUAUGGUGCAUUAGGCGUAAACCAUACGCAUAUCUUCUACCAAAACUAACACUGUCUCUAAACGAACUGAAGCAAGAUUCCAUAUGACACAUAUCAUCAAGGAGUUUUAUCAGGUGCGUCCUAAUUGGUUUCUAAGCAUAUCGUAUGUUCCAUGCAAACCGUGCAUCUAUCUUGCAUCAAGAUUAGCACUAUCUUCAAAUAGACCAAAUUGAGCUUUCACUUGAGCCCCUUGACCUAGGAGUACCAUCGGGUGCGUCCAAAAUGGUUUCUUAUCCUAUGGUACGUGCAAAGUGUGCACCUACUUUGCACCGAAAAUAACACUAUCUCUAAAUGGAUCGAAGUGAGAUUCCAUAUGACACAUGUCAUCAAGGAGUUCCAUCGGGUGCAUCCAAAUUGAUUUCCAAGCAUAUGGUAUGUUCCAUGCAAAUCGUGCACCUAUCUUGCAUCAAGACUAGCACUAUCUCUAAAGAGACCGAACCGAGCCUCCACUUGAGCCUCUUCACCUAGGAGUACCAAUAGGUGCUUCCAAAAUGGUUUCGUAGACUUUGGUGCAUUAGGCACAAACCGUGCACAUAACUUUCACCGAAACUAAUACUAUAUCUAAGCACACCAAAGCGAGAUUCCAUAUGACAUACGUCAUCAAGGAGUUCUAUCGGGUGUGUCCAAAUUAAUUCCUAAGCAUAUGGUACGUUCCAUGCAGACCAUGCAUCUAUCUUGCAUCAAGAUUAGCACUAUCUCCAAAUAGACCAAACCGAGCUUUCACUUGAGCCUUUUACCUAGGAGUACCAUCGGGUGCGUCCAAAAUGGUUUCUUAGCCUAUGUUGCAUUAUGUGCAAACUUUGCACCUAUCUUGCACCGAAACUAACACUGUCUCCAAGCAGACCAAAGUAAGAUUUUGUAUGACACACGUCAUCUAGGAGUUCCGUCAUGUGCGUCCAGAUUGAUUUCCAAGCAUUUGGUAUGUUCCAUGCAAACCGUGCACCUAUCUUGCAUCAGGAUUAGCACUUUCUCCAAACAGACCGAACUGAGCAUCCACUUGAGCCCCUUCAACUAGGAGUACCAACAAGUGCGUCCAAAAUGGUUUCUUAGGCUAUGGUGCAUUAGGUGCAAACUGUGCACCUAUCUUGCACCGAAACUAACAAUGUCUCCAAAUGGACCGAAGCGAGAUUCCAUAUGACACACGUCGUCAAGGAGUUCCAUCGAGUGCAUCCAAAUUGAUUUCCAAGCAUGUUAUGUUCCAUGCAAACCAUGCACCUACCUUGCAUAAGGAUUAGCACUAUCUCCAAACUGACCGAACCAAGCUUCCACUUGAGCCUCUUCACCCAAGAGUACCAAAUAGUGCAACCAAAAUGGUUUCUUAGACUAUGGUGCAUUAGGCGCAAAUUGUGCACCUAUCUUGCACUAAAACUUACAAUGUCUACAAACGGACUGAAGCAAGAUUCCAUAUGACGCAUGUCAUCUAGGAGUUCCAUUGGGUGCGUCCAAAUUGAUUUCUAAGCAUAUGGUAUGUUCCUUGCAAAUCAUGCACCUAUCUUGCAUCAAGAUUAGCACUAUCUCCAAACAGAUCAAACCGAGCUUCCACUUGAGCCUCUUCAUCGAAGUAGCAACAGGUGCUUCCAAAAUGGUUUCUUAGACUAUGGUGCAUUAGGCGCAAAGCAUGCAAAUAUCUUGUACCAAAACUAACACUAUUUCUAAACACAAGAAAGUGAGAUUCCAUAUGACCAUCAUCAAGGAGGUCCAUCUGGUGGAUCCAAAUUGAUUUCCAAGCAUAUGGUAUGUUCCAUGCAAACCGUGCUCCUAUCUUGCAUCAAGAUUAGCACUAUAUCCAAACAAACCGAACCGAGCAUCCACUUGAGGCCCUUCACCUUGGAGUACCAACGAGUGCGUCCAAAAUGGUUUCUUAGACUAUGGUGCAUUAGGUGCAAACUGUGCACCUAUCUUGCACCGAAACUAACAAUGUCUCCAAAUGGACCGAAAAGAGAUUCCAUAUGACACACGUCGUCAAGGAGUUCCAUCGGGUGCAUCCAAAUUGAUUUCCAAGCAUAUGGUAUGUUCCAUGCAAACCAUGCACCUACCUUGCAUAAGGAUUAUCACUAUCUCCAAACUGACUGAAUCAAGCUUCCACUUGAGCCUGUACAUCCAAGAGUACCAAAUAGUGCAUCCAAAUGGUUUCUUAGACUAUGGUGCAUUAGGCGCAAACUGUGCACCUAUCUUGCACUAAAACUUACAAUGUCUACAAACGGACCGAAGCAAGAUUCCAUUUGACACACGUCAUCUAGGAGUUCCAUUGGGUGCGUCCAAAUUGAUUUCUAAGCAUAUGGUAUGUUCCUUGCAAAUCAUGCACCUAUCUUGCAUCAAGAUUAGCACUAUCUCCAAACAUAUCAAACCGAGCUUCCACUUGAGCCUCUUCACCGAAGUACCAACAGGUGCUUUCAAAAUGGUUUCUUAGACUAUGGUGCAUUAGGCGCACACCAUGCACAUAUCUUACACAGAAACUAACACUAUUUCUAAACAGACCAAAGUGAGAUUCCAUAUGACACACGUCAUCAAGGAGUUCCAUCGGGUGGAUCCAAAUUGAUUUCCAAGCAAAUGGUAUGUUCCAUGCAAACCGUGCACCUAUCUUGCAUCAAGAUUAGCACUAUCUCCAAACGGACCAAACCGAGCAUCCACUUGAGCCCCUUCACCUAGGAUUACCAACAAGUGCGUCCAAAAUGGUUUCUUAGACUGUGGUGCAUUAGGUGCAAACUGUGCAGCUAUCUUGCACCAAAACUAACAAUGUCUCCAAAUGGACCAAAGCGAGAUUCCAUAUGACACACGUCGUCAUGGAGUUCCAUCGGGUGCAUCCAAAUUGAUUUUCAAGCAUAUGGUAUGUUCCAUGCAAACCAUGCACCUACCUUGCAUAAGGAUUAGCACUAUCCCCAAUCUAACUGAGCCAAGCUUCCACUUGAGCCUCUUCACCCAAGAGUACCAAAUAGUGCAUCCAAAAUGGUUUCUUAGACUAUGGUGCAUUAGGCACAAACUGUCCACCUAUCUUCCAAUAAAACUUACAAUGUCUACAAACGGACCGAAGCAAGAUUCCAUAUGACACACGUCAUCUAGGAGUUCCAUUGGGUGCGUCCAAAUUGAUUUCUAAGCAUAUCCUAUGUUCCUAGCAAAUCAUGCACCUAUCUUGCAUCAAGAUUAGCACUAUCUCCAAACAUAUCAAACCGAGCUUCCACUUGAGCCUCUUCACCGAAGUACCAACAGGUGCUUCCAAAAUGGUUUCUUAGACUAUGGUGCAUUAGGCGCAAACCAUGCACAUAGCUUACACCGAAACUAACACUAUUUCUAAACAGACCAAAGUGAGAUUCCAUAUGACACACGUCAUCAAGGAGUUCCAUCGGGUGGAUCCAAAUUGAUUUCCAAGCAAAUGGUAUGUUCCAUGCAAACUGUGCACCUAUCUUGCAUCAAGAUUAGUACUAUCUCCAAACAGACCGAACCGAGCUUCCACUUGAGCCUCUUCAUCUAGGAGUACAAAUAGGUGUGUCAAAAAUGGUUUCUUAAACUAUGGUGCAUUAGGCGCAAACUGUGCGCCUAUCUUGCACCGAAACUAAUAUUGUCUCCAAACAGACCGAAGCGAGAUUCCAUAUGACACACGUCAUAUAGGAAUUCCAUUAGGUGUGUCCAAAUUGAUUUCUUAACAUAUGGUAUGUUGCAUGCAAACUGUGCAACUAUCUUGCAUCAAGACUAGCACUAUAUCUAAAGAGACAGAACCGAGCCUCCACUUGAGCCUCUUCACCUAGGAGUACCAACAGGUGCUUUCAAAAUGGUUUCUUUUACUUUGGUGCAUUAGGCGCAAACUGUGCAUAUAUCUUGCACCGAAACUAAUACUAUCUCUAAGCACACCAAAGUGAGAUUCCAUAUGACACACAUCAUCAAGGAGUUCUAUCGGGUGUGUCCAAAUCAAUUUCUAAGCAAAUGGUAUGUUCCAUGCAGACCGUGCAUCUAUCUUGCAUCAAGAUUAGCACUAUCUCCAAAUAGAUCAAAUCGAGGUUUCACUUCAGCCUUUUACCUAGGAGUACCAUCGGGUGCAUCCAAAAUGGUUUCUUAGCCUAUGCUGCAUUAUGUGCAAACCUUGCACCUAUCUUGCACCGAAACUAACACUGUCUCCAAACAGACCAAAGCAAGAUUUUGUAUGACACACGUCAUCUAGGAGUUCCAUCAUCUGCGUCCAGAUUGAUUUCCAUGCAUUUGGUAUGUUCCAUGCAACCAUGCACCUAUCUUUCAUCAAGAUUAGCACUAUCUCCAAACAGACCGAAGCGAGCAUCCACUUGAGCCCCUUCACCUAGGAGUACCAACAAGUGCGUCCAAAAUGGUUUCUUAGACUAUGGUGCAUUAGGUGCAAACUGUGCCCCUAUUGAUGAGGACAUCAACACCAUCGAUAUAUCCGCACCUACACCAGUUGGUCCUCUUACUCAUGCUCGUGCCCGUCAACUCAACCUUCAAGUAAGUUCAGUUUUAAACUCUUGUCAAUCAUAUUUAGACAAUGGAGACACGUGCACUUUCGUGUUGCUCAGGAAUAAUGGACAAGAUCAGCAAGGGAAGGUUCAACUGCAUUCGGAAUUUGAGGCAACACCAACUUCAAGGGCUGAUUGCAUAUGGGAAGAGUGAUAACUUAACAAAGGUGAUUGGAGAUCAGGUCCAAGCCUCCACAACAUCCUCUAUCAAGUUACCACGUCACUUCUAAAGCAAGGAAACAAAGAGUCCAAACCCAACACGUUUUGGGAGUUGGAUUCGGACUGGAAAAUAACUCUAACUUGUAUGGAUCACCACGGCGUCAUAUGGACUCCAACUGGGACGUUCCUAUACUUGUUGGAAAGCUCAUGAAGUCUACUUUCCAAUGGGUCCAACCACAUAUCUAUGCAGCUUAUGAGUCGGGCGCAGUCCUUGUUUUUGUGCCACACCUUUUUCUGUUUUGGUGCUGCGUCACCCUAUUUUGGACCAAUGGCCCAUGUAUCAAGUUGAGUCCAUUAGGGACGCGUCCUAGGGUUGGAGGACGACUCUAGCACCCCUUUGGUCGUCCUCCCCUCUAUUUAUUUACAUCUAGAGCCGCCAUGAACAACUGGGUUUUGAUUAGAUAAAGUUUAGCCUUUGCUACUUGCUUGUAAACGCGCGUGCUGAUCCAGCCGCCCGUCUUCUUGUUUUCGAAACCCCACUUCAUUAGAGAUUGAGUUUGAAACCUUCAUUUACAUCUAGUAAUUUAGUACUUGUUCUACUUGUUCUUGCUGGUUCUUCGAUUGCUUGCAGGACGAGUGCCCUAGUGGCCGGGUGUUGCGCUCCACAAGAUCGUGACAGCCAUUGGAGGUGGUGUAUCGGUUGCUAAGGCGCGGUCUUGAGGGCUGUAGUCGGGCCGUGAACGUCAUCUCCAUUCACUAAUCGAGUUAUACAGCGCCUCUCAUCGAAAGCUCAGGCGAAAACUCUAGUGGGUUCACAUCCGUUGGUAAUCAGAGCAAGGUUUAUCGGUGAGAGAUUUUCAAUUCUUCGUGUUUGUUUUUUCCUAUAGUCCAAAAAAAGACAAAAAAUAUAGCAGAUUUGUUUUCCAUAAUCCUAUAAAUCCUUUGUGCCGUGGCUAGUACUACUUAGUUAGGGCUGGUUGAAUGAGUGUUUGCUUCGGUCGUGUCCAGUGCUGGUUUUAGUUUAGUCCUUUAGAGUUUUGAGUUCUUGUCACCAUCUAGUCACAACUGCAUCCAAUCUAUUGUGGGUUCGAAUUUGAGUAGAUCUUGAUAAUAGGUGCAGCCACUUGUUGGUCUAUUCUGCGUUUCCAUCAACGUUAUCCAAAAGGAAAGAUAGCACUUCAUACUUGUGCUAGAUAUAUUGAAUUUUGAGGUUCAGCCUUACUCUAGUGAGAGGGUGAGAGUGGUGAAGUGAUAUUUUGUACUAUUUUGUUUAUAUAAUCAGGUUUUGAGGUUCUCCAAAAAAAAGAAAAGAGAAAGAAAAAAAAAAGAAAGAAAAAAAAGAAAGAAAAAAAGAAAAAAAGAGAAAAAAAAUCAAAAAAAGGGAUUGUUGUUCCUUUUGUUUCCAGUAGGGCUGCUCAUUUUGUUUCUAGUGGUGUGCUGUGUUUUCCCUUUGUGUCCAGGCUCGCGUCUCUAGCACGGUCUAGGCUAGGACCAGCACAGUACCACCGUUGAGCGUUUAUUCAACUUGCUUUUUAUAACUAACGUGGUGCUAGUUCGAUCCUUGUUUCAGCCCACCUAUAGCUCCACAUAUUCUACAGCUUGAUAGGUUUUGUUGCUGCGGCACCGAUACACUUCGUCCAUUGCUGUGGAUUUGUUGGUAGCCAUUCCCUCCUGUUGAGCAAGGUAAGAAUUGGUAAGAACUUGUUAGACAGGUUGAUAGAGAGCGUCUUACAGUAGCCACAUCCUAAUAGCUGUAGGGUUUUUAUUUCUUCACCUAUUUUUCUUGUUUCCACUGUGUGUUUUUUUUAAACCAUGUCAGAGACAGAGGAUACCAACAAAAUUCCACAGUCACCUCGCACUAAGGGCAUCAUACAACAUUUUGAAAGGCAAGUGAAGCUACACACAGAGGGACUUGAUGACGACUUGAAGGUGACGAAUGACAAGCUUGGGCAGUUGGAGGACACGCAGAUUGCCACAAACAACAAGAUUACAAAGAUGGAGGCAUCUAUUACUAGUAUGGAUAAAAGUCUUGCUGCUCUUCUCAAACGCUUUGAUGACUUCCACACAAUGGACAAAGAGAAGCAUAAGGAAGAAAACAAGGAGGAAGACCGAGUGGAUGGCAAUUAUGAUGAUGAUUACACUGCUGAUACGGAACGAGAUGAUCAAGACACUCAUCAUCGACGUCGCCUACGUCACACACGUAGAGGUAUGGGUGGCCACCACCGACGCGAGGUACACAAUAAUAAUGAUGCUUUCAGUAAGAUUAAAUUUAAAAUACCUCCUUUCGAUGCAAGGGCUAUGGGCACGUACAGCGAGAAUGUCCAAACAAGCGUGUUUUGGUGGUUAACGCUGAUGGUGGGUAUUCCUCUGCUAGUGAUUUUGAUGACAAUACACGUGCUUUGCUUGCUGCUGAUGAUACAGGUAGGGAUGAAGCAAUAGAAGAGCAGAUAGGUACAGAGAAUGUAGAGCAUUAUGAGAGUCUUAUUGUGCAGCGUGUGCUUAGUGCUCAAGCGGAGAAGGUAGAGCAGAAUCAGCGGCAUACAUUGUUCCAAACAAAGUAUGUUAUUAAAGAGCGUUCUUGUCGUUUGAUUAUUGAUGGAGGUAGCUGCAACAACUUGGCUAGCAGCGACAUGGUGGAGAAGCUUGCACUUACCACCAAAUCACAUCCACAUCCAUAUCACAUUCGGUGGCUGAACAACAGUGGUAAGGCCAAGGUAACAAAACUAGUGCGAAUUAAUUUUACUAUUGGUUCAUACCAUGAUGUUUUUGAAUGUGAUGUUGUACCUAUGGAAGCUUGUAAUAUUCUGCUAGGUAGACCAUGGCAAUUUGAUAAGGAAUGUAUACAUCAUGGUAGAUCAAAUCAGUAUUCGUUUAUGCACCAUGAUAUGAAAAUUGUUUUGCUACCUAUGUCUCCCGAAGCUAUCGUAAGUGAUGAAGUUGCUAAAAUUACCAAGGCUAAAAUUAAGAACAAUGCAGAUACCAAUGGAAAUAACAGAGAUGAGAUAAGAUUAAAUGGACAUUGCAUGCUUGCUACUAAAUUUGAAGUUAAUGAACUAAUUGCUUCCACAUCUAUUGCUUAUGCUUUGGUAUGUAAGGGUGUUUUGAUUUCAAUUGAAGAUAUGCUGCAUUCUUUGCCCCCUGCUGUUCAUAACAUUUUGCAGGAGUAUGCUGAUGUUUUUCCAAGUGAGAUACCGGCAGGGCUGCCACCUAUACGUGGGAUUGAGCACCAAAUUGAUCUUAUUCCUGGUGCAUCUUUGCCAAACCGCGCGCCAUACAGGACAAAUCCAGAGGAAACAAAAGAGAUCCAGCGGCAAGUGCAAGAACUCCUCGACAAAGGUUAUGGAAUUGAGGUUGAUCAAGCCAAGGUAGAAGCUAUACAGGGAUGGCCUGUACUAAAGACAAUCACCCAGGUGCGGAGUUUCUUAGGACUUGCUGGGUUUUAUCGCCGUUUUGUGAAGGAUUUCAGCACCAUUGCUGCACCAUUGAAUGAGCUUACAAAGAAGGGAGUGCCUUUUGUGUGGAGCAAAGUACAAGAGAAUUCCUUCAACAUGUUAAAAGAUAAGUUAACACAUGCACCUCUCCUACAGCUUCCUGAUUUUAAUAAGACUUUUGAGCUUGAGUGUGAUGCUAGUGGGAUUGGUUUGGGAGGUGUUUUGCUACAAGAGGGUAAACCUGUUGCAUAUUUUAGUGAGAAAUUGAGUGGGCCUGUUCUGAACUAUUCAACUUAUGAUAAAGAAUUGUAUGCUCUUGUCCGAACUUUAGAAACAUGGCAACAUUAUUUGUGGCCCAAAGAGUUUGUUAUUCAUUCUGAUCAUGAAUCUUUAAAACAUAUUCGUAGUCAAGGAAAACUAAAUCGCAGACAUGCUAAGUGGGUAGAAUUUAUUGAAUCCUUUCCUUAUGUUAUUAAGCACAAGAAAGGGAAGGAGAAUAUCAUUGCUGAUGCUUUGUCAAGGAGAUAUACUUCGCUAAAUCAACUUGAUUACAAGAUUUUUGGAUUAGAAACGAUCAAAGACCAAUAUGUUCAUGAUGCUGAUUUUAAUGAAGUGUUGCUGCGUUGUAAAGAUGGAAAAGGAUGGAACAAAUUCAUCGUUAGUGAUGGGUUUGUGUUUAGAGCUAACAAGCUAUGCAUUCCAGCUAGCUCUGUUCGUUUGUUGUUGUUACAGGAAGCUCAUGGAGGAGGUUUGAUGGGACAUUUUCGAGCAAAGAAGACGGAGGACAUACUUGCUGAUUUGAAACCAUAUUUGGGUGAGGAACAUGAGCUUGAGUCGAGGACGACUCAAAUCCAAGAAAGGGAGGAUGAUGAGGACAUCAACACCAUCGAUAUAUCCGCACCUACACCAGUUGGUCCUCUUACUCAUGCUCGUGCCCGUCAACUCAACCUUCAAGUAAGUUCAGUUUUAAACUCUUGUCAAUCAUAUUUAGACAAUGGAGACACGUGCACUUUCGUGUUGCUCAGGAAUAAUGGACAAGAUCAGCAAGGGUAGGUUCAACUGCAUUCGGAAUUUGAGGCAACACCAACUUCAAGGGCUGAUUGCAUAUGGGAAGAGUGAUAACUUAACAAAGGUGAUUGGAGAUCAGGUCCAAGCCUCCACAACAUCCUCUAUCAAGUUACCACGUCGCUUCUAAAGCAAGGAAACAAAGAGUCCAAACCCAACACGUUUUGGGAGUUGGAUUCGGACUGGAAAAUAACUCUAACUUGUAUGGAUCACCACGGCGUCAUAUGGACUCCAACUGGGACAUUCCUAUACUUGAUGGAAAGCUCAUGAAGUCUACUUUCCAAUGGGUCCAACCACAUAUCUAUGCAGCUUAUGAGUCGGGCGCAGUCCUUGUUUUUGUGCCACACCUUUUUCUGUUUUGGUGCUGCGUCACCCUAUUUUGGACCAAUGGCCCAUGUAUCAAGUUGAGUCCAUUAGGGACGCGUCCUAGGGUUGGAGGACGACUCUAGCACCCCUUUGGUCGUCCUCCCCUCUAUUUAUUUACAUCUAGAGCCGCCAUGAACAACUGGGUUUUGAUUAGAUAAAGUUUAGCCUUCGCUACUUGCUUGUAAAUGCGCGUGCUGAUCCAGCCGCCCGUCUUCUUGUUUUCGAAACCCCACUUCAUUAGAGAUUGAGUUUGAAACCUUCAUUUACAUCUAGUAAUUUAGUACUUGUUCUACUUGUUCUUGCUGGUUCUUCGAUUGCUUGCAGGACGAGUGCCCUAGUGGCCGGGUGUUGCGCUCCACAAGAUCGUGACAGCCAUUGGAGGCGGUGUAUCGGUUGCUAAGGCGCGGCCUUAGAAGGCUGUAGUCGGGCCGUGAACGUCAUCUCCAUUUACUAAUCGAGUUAUCCAGCGCCUCUCAUCGAAAGAUCAGGCGAAAACCCUAGUGGGUUCACAUCAGUUGGUAAUCAGAGCAAGGUUUAUCGGUGAGAGAUUUCCAAUUCUUCGUGUUUGUUUUUCCUAUAGUCCAAAAAAAGAAAAAAAAAUAUAGCAGAUUUGUUUUCCAUAAUCCUAUAAAUCCUUUGUGCCGUGGCUAGUACUACUUAGUUAGGGCUGGUUGAAUGAGUGUUUGCUUCGGUCGUGUCCAGUGCUGGUUUUAGUUUAGUCCUUUAGAGUUUUGAGUUCUUGUCACCAUCUAGUCACAACUGCAUCCAAUCUAUUGUGGGUUGGAAUUUGAGUAGAUCUUGAUAAUAGGUGCAGCCACUUGUUGGUCUAUUCUGCGUUUCCAUCAACGUGAUCCAAAAGGAAAGAUAGCACUUCAUACUUGUGCUAGAUAUAUUGAAUUUUGAGGUUCAGCCUUACUCUAGUGAGAGGGUGAGAGUGGUGAAGUGAUAUUUUGUACUAUUUUGUUUAUAUAAUCAGGUUUUGAGGUUCCCCAAAAAAAAGAAAAGAGAAAGAAAAAAAAAUAAAAAAAAGAAAGAAAGAAAGAAAAAAUAUCAAAAAAAGGGGAUUGUUGUUCCUUUUUGUUUCCAGUAGGGCUGCUCAUUUUAUUUCUAGUGGUGUGCUGUGUUUUUCCUUUGUGUCCAGGCUCGCGUCUCUAGCACGGUCUAGGCUAGGACCAGCACAGUACCACGGUUGAGCGUUUAUUCAACUUGCUUUUUAUAACUAACGUGGUGCUAGUUCGAUCCUUGUUUCAGCCCACC
rnacentral:lncRNA from 1 species